GAAAACAAACGGGUAAGGACUAGGGACUUUUAAGUUGGGACUAAAAAAAAGUCCCAUGACUUCUCAAACAAACAGGCCUAUAUCUAACAAACGUGUGGACAAGCACAGUGACGCAAAGAUGAGGUUAACAGUCAUCUGAUUUGGCCUAUGAAAUAACAGCUGAGUAAACAAGUUUGCAUAAUUGCGCGUCAAGUUUUCUGCAGCUCUCGAGGGAGCAACAUCUGACGCUUUCAGACUGACUGGGAUCUCGUUUUACACGGACUGCGAGGAAGGCGUCACGGGAUGCUACCUAAUCUGCUGCCGCAGCUGCAUCAUCAGAGAGAAAACUACUCUACCGCAGACUGUUUGUACGUCUGCUGCUAAGACCAUCUCCAACAGGCGCCUAAAAAACGACUUUAUCGUGCGCUGGUCGUCUGGUUUUGCGCGUCGCGCAGCGCUGGCUCCAACAGCCGCGCUAUAAUGCAUCGCGCACGCCGCUCCAGCAGUGCCCAAAGAUGCAGCUCGCACAAUUUUUUUUAAUAAAUAGAUUGCAUUUAAAUAAAAAAGAUACAAAGUUAUUUUACAUAGAUAGCAACUAGAUAGGUAGUUCGAAAACAUAGAUAGAUAGUUCGGUGCUAGAUAGUUUGAUAAAAAAAAUACUAAUCCUAGUCGCUCCAGUCAUCUGCAUCACCAUUGUCGUCGGUGUCGUCGGAGGUUGACAGCCAAAUGUCAAACCAUCGUUCAUCUUCUUCAGUGAAGAAGGAACUCCCGCCUGCAUUGACGAGGUCGGCAUGCGCACACGCCAAAGCCUUCCGACGACGUCUAUCCAACCGCUCCUCGCGGCGCCGGCGCGUGUCCUCCUCGCGACGCCGGUCCCAGUACUCCUGCUCGUAGGCGACGUCUUCCGGGUGGCGCCGGCGCCACUCCGCCAUGACCCGCUCGUCCUCCUGGGCGACGAGGAGGUGGCGCUGCAUCGCAGUGUGCUCCGCACGGUCUUGUGCGGAGUUAAGGCGAGGCGGCGGGGCGAGGUCUAAUGCCUGCUGGAGCGUGCGGACGUCGGGGAAGUUCAUCUGCAGUCGCGGCCUGCCUAGGCGCCACGCCGCCGCGUCGAACGCGCGGGCGGCCUCGUGCGUCGUGUCGUACGUGCCGAGGCUCAGCCGGAGAUCGCCGGAGCGUAUCUCGGCGUAGAACCCGCCGUUGGGGCUGUCUCUNNNNNNNNNNNNNNNNNNNNNNNNNNNNNNNNNNNNNNNNNNNNNNNNNNNNNNNNNNNNNNNNNNNNNNNNNNNNNNNNNNNNNNNNNNNNNNNNNNNNNNNNNNNNNNNNNNNNNNNNNNNNNNNNNNNNNNNNNNNNNNNNNNNNNNNNNNNNNNNNNNNNNNNNNNNNNNNNNNNNNNNNNNNNNNNNNNNNNNNNNNNNNNNNNNNNNNNNNNNNNNNNNNNNNNNNNNNNNNNNNNNNNNNNNNNNNNNNNNNNNNNNNNNNNNNNNNNNNNNNNNNNNNNNNNNNNNNNNNNNNNNNNNNNNNNNNNNNNNNNNNNNNNNNNNNNNNNNNNNNNNNNNNNNNNNNNNNNNNNNNNNNNNNNNNNNNNNNNNNNNNNNNNNNNNNNNNNNNNNNNNNNNNNNNNNNNNNNNNNNNNNNNNNNNNNNNNNNNNNNNNNNNNNNNNNNNNNNNNNNNNNNNNNNNNNNNNNNNNNNNNNNNNNNNNNNNNNNNNNNNNNNNNNNNNNNNNNNNNNNNNNNNNNNNNNNNNNNNNNNNNNNNNNNNNNNNNNNNNNNNNNNNNNNNNNNNNNNNNNNNNNNNNNNNNNNNNNNNNNNNNNNNNNNNNNNNNNNNNNNNNNNNNNNNNNNNNNNNNNNNNNNNNNNNNNNNNNNNNNAGGAAGAGAGAAGAGAGAACGCGGCACGAGAGGCAGGGCAGCGCGCUGCCUUUUAUGGCACGCGCGGGACGCGGCGCCGCAAAAAUGACGCACGGGCUGCCGCCUUUUCGCGCGCGCUAGCGGUUCCCUCGCGCGCGGUUUUUUCCCGCCGCCGCUGGAGCGCGCAUUUCAGUCCCGCGCGCGGUAAACUGGCGUUUUUUAGCGUGCGCGGCUUUUUGCGCGCCUGUUGGAGAUGCUCUAAGCCAUGCAGGCAGAGAUUAUAAAACAAGCUGUGCACUGCAGCCCUGCAGGACUCGGCCGGCAAGGCGCCAAGCUGGAGUCUUGCUCCCGAGCUGGCCCGCCAUCUCGGGUUUUUGUUCGGACGUCCACGGUCUGGUCCCGGUUGAAGCGUGCAGCCACCCACGCCGGAGAUUCUAGUUUGGAUACAUCGACGUCGUGGACUGGCUUGGCUAUGUGUGUGUGUGCGCGCGNNNNNNNNNNNNNNNNNNNNNNNNNNNNNNNNNNNNNNNNNNNNNNNNNNNNNNNNNNNNNNNNNNNNNNNNNNNNNNNNNNNNNNNNNNUGUUGUCUUAGUUCGAUAUUGUUCUGAUUUUUAGUUUGACGAAGUGAUCGAUAUCCAUAUGGUCACACGAUGGAAUACGGCAAGAGGCCGUGCAUAUGUCCCCUAUUUCCAGCAAGAAUAUACUAGCCUGAAUAGACCGACCAACCAAUCUUCCAGCAAUAACAAGGUACCCAUGAAGUAUGAAUUUGUAUGUGAUAAACUACUAAUACCAGCUAAAAGAACUAAUACAAGCUGAUUAUUAUACCCUAAAAACAUACUACAAGUAAUAGCUGACCUGUUGCAGGAGGAGGCAUUGAAGGAAUCUCCUCCUUGACACACUCCCUUCCACCGCGCGGGCACUGGCCCUAGCCCUUCGUCGCCGAAGCUCCUCGACUCCGGCCAAAUCCCUGUAGUGUCAAACAAUCGCUUCUUGUCAACGCAGUUCAGUUUCACUCCCCGUGUUUGCCAAAGCAGUUCGGUAGUAUUCAGUAGAGCCUUCUCACCGGAGUCCAGCAUGCCUACGAUGACAUUCUCGCCGGCGUGAGCGCCGGACGGCAGCCAGUCCCCGCUGUCCAGGCCUCGGAACCCUUCCUCCAAGCCCACAAACUCCCAAGACCUCGUGGUGUGUGGGGACCACCUCCCGUCGCUCCGAAAGGUAGACACCACCUCAGUCCUCUCUGCAGGAGCAGGAAACUCCACAUGCAUGGCAUGAGCCAGACGAACAAGGACAUAUACCAACAGUGAUAGACAAAUCACAAUACAGUAUUACUCCCUUUUAGAGAUUCCACUAAAAGACUAUACACGGAGCAAAAUAAGUGAAUGUAUAUUCUAAAAUAUGUCUAUGUACAUGCGUAUGUAGUUCAUAGUGUAAUCUCUAAAAUGUCUUAUAUUUAGGAACGGACGGAGUAUUUAUCGUGCAUCCAUUUUUGAGAAAAUCCCUGGUGUCACUGUAGACACUACCUGAAAGCUUUGUGGCUUCAUCAUCGGAGAGAAGAGCCGCGAAGCCAUUCAGGCUGUGCUUGUAGCUGUACAGCAGCGACGCCCGCGCCUCCUCCUCGCUGGUGAACGAGGGAAAAAGAGCGCGUGAAUGGUUAGCUGCGACUUGUACACGAAGCCGGACUCGCUAGUAUCCCAGUAUCCGGCGCUGCCACUGCCACAUGUAUGUACGCAACUACGCAUGCAUGCAUUCAUUAAUGGCUGUGUAUGUAACGAGUAUGUAUGUACCUGCCCUUGACGGAGAGGAGGAGGGCAUGGUGAUCAUCAAGGACAGUUUCCUUCGACUUCUCUCCUGCGUGCUCGCCCAGAUACACUAUAUAGACCUGUCCACAACGGCGAUAUGAAAGUUUAGUAAUCCGUCCCUUCUGCAGAGCACGCAGCUCACACAGAAUUAAGCGUAGGGAGUUAAGCGAAACAGAAGCAUCAUGAACGGCAGGACCGUGCCGGCCAUGAACUAGUCGAACUAAACCCGUGAGAAAUCUGUUGAUUAACAGCGAAAAAUGGAUUGAUUGAGAUGAUGACCUGGCCUUGCUUGGUAGAGGCUGAGGCAGUGAGGAAGGGGGGGGGGAAGAAGAGAAGUCCGGACAUGGCCGGUCGUCCGCUGCCUCCUCCUGUCGCCUCCAUCGGAACGCCGUAUCUCCCUCCGUGUUUCCACGGCUUGGAGGCUGUUUAUAUAUGCACUAUACAGAGUUACAGACAGAGGUUCUGUGGCGAGGCGAUGGAUCGGGCAAAAGGGACACGGUGGAAUAGUUUGAUUGUCUCUCGCCCUCUAAGACGAUACCAUCUUUUGCUUCUUGUAUUAUAUUGUUUGUAAUUUUUUGCUUUCUUCCCAGUAUUCCUUUUUUUCCCUUUUGGAGGAAGAAUCUUCCCUAGCCUCAACUUGAAGCUGUGAUGACUUAUUUAACUUGGAUAGUUUGGUCUGGAUUGGAUACAUAUACUCUGCAUUCUUGGCAUUUUCAGCAAGAACAAAAAGAGCUAGUCUGACACUGCAAUCGCACCCACUACUGUCUUAUCUGUAUUUUUACUUUGUUAGAGAAAAGUCACUUGUGUUCUUCACCGCAUUCAGGAAAACACACACUUAUUAUGGUAUUACUAAUAAUAUGUGCACCCCGCGUGCAGUGUAGUAAGAAUUUUAAGAAAUAAGUGUUUUGAAAUAGCAGAUAAAAGAAAACCAGCUAUAUCGUCCAUAUGAUGGAGAAAUAGUGGAGUUAAAUGGAAAGUGUAGGUACAAAUUAUCUAAACAAUAUGUGUCAAUUUAGUGAGAACACUCGAGGCCAAUGGUAUGUUAAAUGCUUGAGAAGGGCAUCUUCAAAGCGGACUCUCAAUGUAACCGUCCGGACGUGUUUAGCCAUCCAACAUGGAUGACCACACAUAUUUUUUUGGUUAAUCCGAGACAACUUUGUGUGUGUGUGUGGGGGGGGGGGGUGGGGGGGGAGGGCUUUGUUGGAGUCCGGAUAGCAUCCAUGUAGGGCUUCGACACCCUUGGCCAACCCCCAAAACCCCUUCUCGAGCCCGCGCCUCCAUCCCUUCAUCUUUGUCUCUUCAUCACUUUUAUAUCUAGCCUGUGUCGUUGCUCCACCACCCUCACUGCAGCGCCACACCCUUGUCAAAACUUGACGAGUCUCUCACCUCCAACUGUACACCUGGGCUCCAUGCCACUUCUCCUCCGCCUCCGUCCCAAAACUCUCCUUCGACCGCCUCGCAGGUACCAUAUGCUCUUAUGAUACCCACAAUGCCCGGCAAUUGUUCGGUGAAUUACCCAAGCUAAUUUCUUCGUCCCUUCUUCUUUGAAGCAAUGUAUUUGGAUACGGAAUACAUAUACGAGCACUAUGUUGAAACGUCCGAUAAGGAGGACUACACGUAUGAGACGGUGAUGAUGCAGGCAGUCCUUGUAGAUGUGGAGCAUGCGGAGGAGGAUAUUCUCAAUUUUCAAGGGAUCGGUCAACGGUCGUCGAGUGCUCAACUGCAAGAGGGCGCAUGUCCAUUUGACGCCGAUGUACGACUAGUUUUCCCUGGAUGCCUUCUUCGCUCACAAUAUUCACAGGCACUUUCGGAUGCGCAAAAACGUUUUCGGUCUUCUCUACCAUGGCGUCCAGUCCUUUGAUGACUACGUCAUCUUGAAGAAAGACGUCAUGGGAAGGAUUGGGUUCUUUCGUUACCAGAAGUGCACUCACACACUGAAGAUGCUUGCAUGCACGGCUGUUGAAUCGUGGGACUACUACCUAUGAAUGUUUGAGAGUACAUGCGAAGAUGCCAUGGUCAGGUGUGCAACUGUCGUGGUCGAGGUGUUUCAACCUCAAAACCUGAGAGAAGUAACUUGGUAGACACCGGGAGGAUCUUUGAAAUCUCGAAAGAAAGAGGGUGGCCAGGUUUAGUCGAAUCUCUUGACUAUAUGCAUUGGAAAUGGAAGAACGGUCUCAAAGCUUUAGAAGGGCAAUACGAGAGUCAUGUUUAGAAGCCCACCAUCAUUCUUAAAGAAGUUGCAUCACAUGAUCUUUGGAUUUGGCACGCUUUCUUUGGCGCUACAAUGUGCUGCAGCGACCACCAUUGUUUGCUAAGAUGACUGAAGGAAAAGCUCCUCCUUGCCACUAUACUGUUAAUCGACAUGAUUACAACAUGGGCUACUAUCUGGUUGACGAUAUCUAUCCUAUGUGUGUCAACACCAUCUCUAACCCAGUUGGACAGAAAAAAUAUCACUUUGUCGAAAGACAUGAAGCGACUAGAAAGGAUGUUGAGAGGGUAUUUGGAGUUCAGCAAGCACGUUUUGCACUUGUUGGUGGACCUGCUAAAAAAGGGAUCUGGAGAUCUUGUGGGAGGUGAUGACCUGUUGUGUGAUCAUGCACAACAUGAUUGUGAAGGAUGAGCUGAGGAUGCUGCCACAACUCUUGAAUUUGAGAACAUGGAGGAUCCUAUCAAACUUUCCGACCAGAAUCCGUCUACAUUUGAAGAGCUUGUUCAAAUGCAUCAAUAAAUUCGGCAUCGAGCGACUCAUGAGCAACUAAAGGAAGAUCUAAUUGAGCAUUUGUGGGCGGUCAAGGGCGACAACGAUGUUGGAGUGUGAUAUUUAAACUUUUUUAAAAUUAGAACUAUGUAUGCGUCUAUUUGAACAUGCAUACUUCAAAAAAUGGGGUCAAAUGUAUGCGAGCAUCGUUGGAUGGCUGGCUCCCGCAGGGUCCACCGACUUGUCCAUGUCUGCAAACGAAGACGGGGUGCCCGUUUUGUGGGUCAGCGUUGGAGAUUGUCAUAGCCUUAGAAUUGUUUGUAAUUAGUUGCAUUAACAUCUUGGCAUCAUGAUUACAUUUUUGAAACUUCGAAAUGAGGAUUGAAGAAACCCUAGUAGAUAAUUAAUUCAGUUAGGUUUAAAUUUAAACAUUUUCUGUGAACCCAAAAUGGCCUUAAAAAAUGUCCAUGAUUUUUGGAUAAUGUUGGAAACAACAACCAGAGGUGACGCACAUUUUGCCUAGCCAUCUUGGAUUUUUGAAUUAACUCAUAUUGUAUUUGAGUUGGAGUUUAAAAUUUACCAUUAAAUAUUGGCUGCUCCAAAUAUUUUGAAAUUUGUUGUGUGUAAUGGGGAUAUGUAUCUAGGAUAGGGUCACAAGCCUGACCCAGAUGUCCUACCUAAGGGUAUCUCAUUAUUAACUUGAAGGUCACAAGGAAGAUUCUGAUUGGAUAGCCAUGGCGUCUAAGUCACUUGGUAAGCAAUCACUCAGAGUAUUUUCCCCUUCACUUGACAACCAACUUCCACUCGGAAGAAACCAUUCGACGCAGAAGACCAGAAGCCACUCCAAGGAAGCCAACAUGCGAGUGUUCGGCUGUUCAUCAUGAAUAGCAUUAAUUACGCACGUUAUCAGUAACAUACACAUUUAAACUCUAUUGAUCGAACCCUUAGAUGCUGGGCCUUGAUGAGGGGUAGCGCACUCUAUAUAAGUCACUCAUCCCCUCUGGCACAAGGGUUCGUACUCCCUGUAACACAUAUUCCACACCGCAAGAGCUCAAGAGUAAUGAUACGUAGGGCUUACCUCCACGAGAGGGCCUGAACUCAUACAUCUUGCGUACAAGCUUGCCGUAGCUAGGACUCUGUCAUCUCCUUUCGUACCCUACAUCUCUACUGUGAGGUUCAUUCCCACGACAGUGUGGUUUUAAAAUAUUACCAAUAUUUCCCAGAAAAAUUUACAGAAUUAACCAAAAUAAUUCUGUUUGAAAACCAAAAUCAAUACAAAUUUUCAAGAAUAGAAAACAGAAAACAAAUAAAGAAAAGAGAGGAGAGAACUAACCUCGUGGCCCAAUACUAUGCAGCCCAUCUCGCUCAUAGUGCUAGUCGUCUUCACCGUGUGCUACUAGGCACAGGAGAUACACCACACAACGCGCGCGAGGGACCCACGCCACCUGCCUGCCUGCCUGCCCCGUCAGCACGACGCCGAGUAUAGAACCGCCAUUCCCGUGUGCAUCGAGCCCAUCCCUUCACCUACCUCGGUGUCCUAUCUUCCCUACCUCCAUGGCCGCAGCACCCGAAGCCGCGCCGCCCUGAACCUCGCGGCCAAAGCCACUCCCUCGCUCCCACUCCGUGUCCCCGAGCUUAGCAUCGACGCCCUCGUCCUCUCCGUCGUGUCAAGCAUCGCGGGACGCCUCGAACACCGACCUUGACGUCGUUUUCUUCCACGGGCCAUGGAUCACCGUCGUCGAAUUUGUCGCUGUCCGUGCUUCCCCGAGCUCGAUGACGACACCAUCGUAUGCACCAUGAGCUGCUGACCGUUACCCUCCUAUUCUCCCAGUCUAAUUCUUGUCGUAGCCCCAACAACCACGACCUCGAGCUCCGGUCGCCGCCAUGGCCGGUGAGCCUCGUGCCCCCGAUAUGCUCCGCUUGCAGUAGUGGCACCAGCAUGCUCCUCAUGACCACAGGACAUCGUAAAGCCCUUUGGCUAGCCUCCCCGUACCCUGCAUCCUCUCGCCCACUCGGGAUCGAACUCCGACCGUUGCACAAAUCACCGCCGCUGUUGUUUUAGACCCCCUAGGCUCAAACUCAUCACACCGUUGGACGCACACGAACACUAGCAUCUUGUAGGGCCAAACCGCUGGUCAUUUGGUUGAGGUAGGGCGAUUUCCGAGCACCUCUGUCGUCUCGGGCCUCGCCGGUGGGGUUGACCCCAUUUGACCAGGGUUUCACCACCGUGGGUCAAAGACAUGUGGGGCUAGGCCCGUGACUAAUUGGUAGUUAGGAUUAAAUUAAGAAAGUCACUCAUGAGUGGGUCCCAUUGGUCUGGUUUGACGUGGACCGGCCCAGUUGCAUGCUCAAAUCAUCCUGAGGCAAUGUUGACGUAGUAACGAUUUUCUAGAAUAAAAAUAAAGCAGAAAUGAUUUAUUAUUUUCAAAAAAUGUUUAGAACUUCUAAAAAUAAUAUAAAAUAAUCUACACCUCUCACAUGAAAAUAAUUUAUAUAUGAAAAAUGAUGAGAAAAAUAUGAAGAAUCAGUUUAUGCCAUGAUCUUGCAUGUUUGAAAAAGUUAACAUCAUCAACUAGGACAAAUGAUGAUUUAGGAAAAUUUGUUAAUUAGUUUUGGAUUGGAAUUUGAUAUAUAAUUAAUUCCACUUAAGUUAAUAUAACUACCUAUUGCAUUAGGUGAAUCUAGUACCUUAACGUGACAUAUCAUCCAUCUAGUUGUGCAUCACAUUGAAUGUGUUCCUUUAUCUUUUUUGUUGAUGUUAUUCCUUCUUGAUAGAUGAUGGUUCUCACGUUGAGAUCGAUGUCAUUGAUGAAGACUCAAUGCUAUCUUCAAAAGUGUCAGGCAAGCAACCCCCUUGAGCAUACUUAUAUAAACCCACUCUCUCGCUCGUGCUCUCUUUUACCGCAUUAGGAGAACAACGAUUCAACUGUUACAUGUUCCGGUAGUUGAAUCCAUUCCUCUGUAUUAAUAGUCUUUGUCAUAGUAAAUAGUUGAAACCACUCAGCAUGAGUAGUAACUGCUUGUGACUUGUUGUGCCUACUCAUCCAUGAUUGCUUAAUAUGCCUGCUAUGCUUAGAGUCGUGUCGGGUCUGAUCCAUCUGGGCGAUGAAUCAGAAUGGAUGUGUUCAUAUCCUGUUGUAUGAGAGCCAAGUGUGUGAAUCCAAUUUGGUAAAGGUAGAGAUGAGAGGCCAUGUAGGAGUACGCAGCGGGUUGUCUCAUUGGGGUCGUCCUUAAGAACUGAGUUCUGUGUUUGUGAUCCAAGACAACUACUACCACACGUUGGCCCUGAAAUAUGACCCCGCUCGACUUAUUAAUCGCCUUGAUCUUUGUCCAGGAGUUGAGUUUCUGGUGUUUGUAGGACAAGUUUCGGUGGUCAUGUUUAGCGUUACCCGACGGCGUGGGCUUUAGUAUGGUAGAUGCACAGUGGCACGGUGUACCAAGUGUUACCCGAAUGGUGGGCGAAACCCUGCGCACAUUGUUUGGGGUCAUAGAGGAAACUUUGGCCGGACUUCUUUAUGGGUUCAGUCUCAAAUAGGUGAUAAACCUGGACUACGUUCUCGUGUGGUUAAAGGUCGUUGUAUACAUCCACGCCGGGCUUCCGCUUGAAGGUUGUCGAGAUACAUGACGUGUAUAUGGCGCUAAGUGGUGGAAACAUGUGCGAGGAAGUACACCCUUGCAGGGUUAAUUCAUCUACUCGAAUAGCUGCAUCCGCGGAUAUGGACUACCUGGAAAAGUUAUAUGGUUCAUAGAUAACUUGAAAUGGAUACUCAAAAAUGCACAAGAUAAGUGUGAGUGCUACAGAUGGCCUUCUCGUAGGGAGACGGGAGAGGAUACAUAGUGGUGUAUUGAUGUGGUUAAUAUGUGGACUCGUGUGUGAUGUCUUACUCCAAACAUACUACUUGUAGUCGUAGUACAUGCUAGCAAAGAAUUAAAGCUAGCUUGCUACAAUAAACUCAACACUUCCCUUUGUUGAAAAUGAUGCGUAUGCAAAUAGUUCUGAUGUAAGUCUUGUUGAGCACCUUUGUCGUCACGGUUGCUUAAUUAUGUUUUUGUAGAGGAAACCUUAGUCUCACUAAUGGUUUUCUAUGUGAAGUUCAACAUUAACCGGAUUAGCUUGGAAUCCCAAACAGAGGUUGGCUCCUCUGGUAGGGUCGUUGUAGUUAUUUGGGCUCCUUGAACCACUUUUAGUACUCCCUCCAUCCGGAAUUACUUGUCGCACAAAUGUAUAAAAAUGGAUGUAUCUAGAACUAAAAUACAUCUAGAUGCAUCCAUUCCUAUGACAAGUAUUUCCGGACAAAGGGAGUAGAUAUUUGUACCGAGACAUGUUUUGCUUCCUCUUGUUGCUUGGAUGACUUGAGUGUUGGCUCAUGUGACCCGUGUUUGUAAUAUCACACUAUAUUGGAUCUUAUGAGUCUUUAAUAAAUACUUUGAGUAAUAGAGUUGUGUUGUGAUGCCAUGUUGUAUCUAUACAUAUCAUGCAUAUUGCGUGUAUAUUUUGAAAUGCAUUGUAUGUUUGGGAUUCGACACCUAGUUGUGUGCCUGUGGUAGCCUUCUUUACAGGGAAAUGCAUCUUUGCGCUUCCAUCGAGCCAUGGUAGCUUGCUACUACUCCGGACACAUUGAUUGGCCGGCAAGUAUCCUUCUUUGCUUUUGUGUCUGUCCCUACUGGUAAAUGUCACGUGGUGUAAUGGAUUCCGUGUAUCUUGUUAUGACUCAUCUACACACGUUGUUGACCGACACCUCCAUUCCUGGGUUAUGUAUGUCUGUCCCUGUAUGGUUGUGCCACUUGGUUCUAUAACUAAUCAUGUCGACCCAGGUUCUCUGACAUAUGGUUCCUAACGAUAUAUUCAUAUACGUAAGCCAAAAGGCACAAAUGGUCCCGACCAAGGUAAGGUGGCAGCCGUGGAGCUUACCGUGCAUGAGGCCGCAAAGUCAUAUGAUGUGUUACAUGCUAGAUUCGUAUGGUUUAGGAUCGGGGUCCCGACAGAGAUGCCCUAACAUCAUAUCAAACAUUUUGAUGUUGCAAAAGUUGUUAUAGUUUAAUAUGACAAAAUGACCUCCUGGAUAAAGAUAAUUGACAUUUUGACAUUAUGGAUAGAUAGAUUUUGGUUAUGACUAUGUAUUGUUCCGAAUCAAGAACCGUUUUGAAAUUUUUUUCACUCCUCCUAUCUAUAUCUACUAAUAAAGGGAAUAGAUAUUCUUGGUCUGUCAUAUUAUUUUGCAAAAAAAAUCCCUAAUGUUGUUGAUAAUCAAGCUGUAAUCCACUUUUAAGUUACUUUUUUGCUUUUGCGGAAAUCCCCCUUAAUGUUACUAGUAAUCAACCCGCGGGACAGUUUUAAGUCAUAUUUUCACUUUUGUAGGAAAGCCGUGAUAAUUGGGCUAAUCAACCGAGAGUACAUAUAUAAUGUUUUAGAAAAAUUUCCAUAUCUUUUAAACGCUUACAAAAAAUUUAACAUGUUAUGUAUGAAAUUUGAUUAAAAAAUAUGUAGAAUUUGAAUGUUAUUUUACAUGUUAACCAUUUUAAAACUCUACUUAUGGGGCAAUCUUAAUCAAUGGCGCAUUAUUUGUCUGUCUUUCAUACCUGUGCUGAUCUGGAUUGGUAAAAAACACCUCAACAAAACUAGAAUUCGAGACGAAAGAAAUCAUCUAUGACCACACUUGCACGCCUUGCUAAAACCUCAUAGGAAAAUAGCAGUUUUCUCAUCUUAUGUCGAGAGAGAGGCGCUUAGGAUUGACAACAUUCAAACACGUUAUGAUUGUGUGAGCAUUGAGGCCAAUGACGCCGAGGGUGGGAAGGAGGAUAAAUGACGACAAAAAUGGGAUGCCAUGUGUUGAAAGAAAGGAAGUAUACCUACCGCGGUACAAAUGGGAUGCCAUUGUGUGUAAUUUCUUUGUUCGCUCAAAUAUCAACCUAUGGAUUUCUGCUACAUGGUCAUAGGUUUGUGGUAGGUUUAUAGAGACACCGAUGUUAAAAGAAUCAAGAUGGAACUACCGGGAGGUGAAUAGUUUAAUUACAAACUUUACCUCGUUUCUUACCAAUUUAGGCAUUGCAUCAUAUCAAAUGUUAGCCCAAAUAUGCUAGAAUGAGAUAAACAAUCUAUAUGAUGUUUGCAAAGUCAAUGGACCAUUGUAAAACACAGGUAAACAUGUGUAACGUCCAAGAUGCGGUCCUUUCCGAUCUGGGGAUCGAGGCCCCGAAUUGGAAAGGAGCGCAUCUAAGCGUCUCGCAAACAGGUAACACAUCACAUACAUAUUAAUAAAGAUAGACAAUCAGGGGUUCAAUUGCCUUCUCAUAAAUAUAUCAGAGUACAUCACGCAUACAACCAAAGUAGUUCCGCUACGGUCUACAAAACAUAGAAAGGCUAUGCUACCCUGCCUGCAGGCCGACGAUCACAACCACGCCACAAUCUUCUGGAUAGUUCACAUACAGGCGGUCUGUCUCCUUAUCGUACUGCCACGCCAGCUGCGUGCCGUCGGGAUCAUCUGUCUCUAGAGUACCUGAACCUGUUGGUAUUGUGGAGGAAUCCGUGAGCCACGGGGACUCAACAAUCUAAGACCUUGGUGCCAGAACUAGUCAAGUUAUUAGGUAGGAUAAGGUGAAGUUGUUUAAGGUUGCAGCAUCCUAAGCUUGACUUGGUGGCUAACUUACGUAGAACAUUUAUGAAGGUGGUCUAUACUAGCGGUCGUGAAUACUUGAUCACUAAGUGAUCCUGAACACCUACCUACGUCAUUUAUAACCCCACCGUGUUCCCGAUCGAAGAGAGAUCUUCGAGGGGACAGUCACGGAUACGCACACAAUUGGCAAUUUUAUUAGCUUUUGUUUAAGUUAUCUAAUACCGGAUGUUAACAAAAUAUUCCAAGUUGCCACAUAACCGCGGGCACGGCUUUCCAAAAGAUUAAACCCUACAGGGGUGCUCCAACUAGUCCAUCACAAACAUACACAGGCCGCAAAGUAAUCCUCUAUCACGAAUCUCGUGAUCUCGUCGGAUUCCUUAGAGGAAAACCUCAACUCUGCGGAAAACCAAAGCUUCACUCGGAUUCCUAUACGCAAGAUAUAUCGCUAAGGUAAGGCAAGGCUAGCAGGACCUCCCGACGUGUCGACGACCCUGAUAAGAGCCGCGUAUCUCAGUCUGAGGACACGCCGGAUGAGCUACGCGCACGAUGGCCUGAUAGAAAUCACUCAAGUUGCCCUGAGUUGGCCCCGAGCAGUGCCCAGUUUGGACCAACACUCAUGAGGAGCACUGGCCCGGGUUGUUGAUUAAGUUCCUCGGGGUAGCUAUUCCCUAUGCAGAUUAUUAUUAAGUGAUUAGCAAAUUAACACCAAUGUUGGGUCCUGCCGGACAAGCCUUAGCACUACGCAAUUUAUCGAGGGGGUCCCCAUAACAACCCCGAACGUGUUAGGAGCGAUCAAUAUGGAAUCAAACACCGGUAGCCGGUAACUAUGGCGGCAAUAACGGAACAAAGCAAAAGGCAAAAGGCCAGGCCUUCCGUCAUUUACCAAGUAUAUAGGUGCAUUAAUUAAAUAACAAAAUUUAAGAUAAUGAUAUCAAGCUCAUGUUGUCACAUGAGACAAAGCACCUGCAUCUAGCAACGCUAACAUUAGUAGCUGAGCAAAGCCUACUUAGCCAUUCAAGUUUUGCUAGGUAAGGGUAGUGUUUGGUUUCAUGGCAUAUGAGGAGGCAAUUUAAUUCAGUGGUAGGCAUCGAGCAAUAUGACAUGGAAACGCAAACUAGCAUAACAAGUCUAGAGAUGGAAUCAAGGUCAUAUCAUCUUGCCUGUGAUAUCCUCAGCUUGGAAUGGUUCUCGAUUGUCCUGCACGUACUGUCCUGACUCCACGUAUUCAUCAUCUGAUCCCAUGCUAUCCAACAUAAGAAUAACAUCCAAUGAACAACAGCACCUCAAGAUGCAACAAGCACAUGAUGCAUGAGAUGAAAAAUGAGCAUGCUUCACUAUUUCUAUCACCAACACAAGCUUAAGAAGCUAAAACAAGUUCCUGGACAGAACUGCAUGCUAACCUAUUUUGACAUGCAUGAGAAUGACAUGAUCAGAUGCGUCUCAUGAAAACGAUGCUAACCACAUAAAGAACAAUACAAUCGGAGCUACGGAUCAACGGGAAUCAAAGAAACAAGAUAUGAAGCCCUACGUGUCAAAAUCACCACCACACACUCAAAUGGCACGAAUAUGGUAUUCCCAGGUUGCCAAGACAUAAAUCAACCCAUCAUGGAUGGGGUGGAGCAAAGAAGAACACCACAACAUCAACUAAGCACUCACAAACAUCAAAAUAACAACACUACACAAUCUGCCAUAAACUGCAUCAUAGCACUUUGUGAGCUACAUCCAAAGCACCUACAACCACCCAACUAUGACAAAUAAUAUAUGUGGCUGUAGAUAGCCAAGAAUACUACCAGAUUAAGCAAGAAUCACACAAAAAGGAAUUAAACAUAGGAAGAUACAAGGCUGCAAACUUUCCCAAAACCAUCAGAUCUCAUGGACUUAGUGAAAAUUCCUGCACCUAACUUUCUGUGUUUGCUCUGAAGCUUUUUGACAGCAGCCAAAAAAAUACCUAAAGGGCUCCAAAUGACAUGAAAUUUUACAGGGAUCUAGAAAAACAUAUCAGGUCCAACUUUCUAGUUGAAAGAUAGGGCUAGAUCACAACACAAUGACCAGCACAACCUCAUCUACACGGGAAGAAAAUAUAAACAGAUUCUCAGACUUAGUGAAAAUCUCUUAGAUUUUCACUAAGCUGGAAUUUCAUCCACAAGCCUACUUUGGAUGGGCACAACUUGCACACAUGGAUUCCAAAUCAUGAAUUGAAACCAACAUGUGGUAGAGGGGGUCACCCUCUACUACCACAAUACACAAACAAAUACAAGAGCGCAUCAUAAUCCAUGGAACCAAGCUCUAAACUUAGAAGAAAAUGCAAAUAUGACUUUUCCAGAAAAAUGUUCCAAUGGAAAAAAUGAUUUCACCAAUGGAUUCCUGGGAUCUUUAUACCCCCAAACCACAUAUAAAACACAUGCACUUGCUUGGAGCAAGUGAGCUCAAACUAGGAAGGAAAAACUACAUAGAAUCCAACAUAGUGAAUAGUGCAACAUUUCAUGCAACUCUCACUAGAACAACUAACACAUAACUAUGCUCAUGUGCACAAAGACAAUAUGGACAUGAGGGUUUGGACCCCAUGUUGGUGUCAAGCACAUCACCAACACAAAUACUUCUCUCACUAUGUCACCCCCCCACACACACUUCAUGCCCUCUCUCAUAUUUAGCAUGAGGAGGUGCACAAGUUGCAAAUGGGGCUGUUUUCACCACAUGCAUAUCACCAACUCAUAUGCAUGUCAUCUAGUAGAAACCACACCACCUACACAUGCUAGCAACACAAAAGAAUGCUAACACAUGCAUAUGGCACUUACACACACAUGCAUACAUACNNNNNNNNNNNNNNNNNNNCACACACACAUACACCUCUCACAUGAACACACACAUGCAUCACAUCAUCUGGCACUUCUAUAGCAGCAAAGGGAAAAAAUAAAAUGCCAUUGUCAUCUAGUGUUUUAGGCACAAGUGUAGCAAGCAAAAGCAAAGGAAAAAAAUAGAAAUAAGGGAAAAAGAAAAUGGGGCAGCCUGGGAUUCGAACCCCAGUGCCCCUGGUGCUCUGCAACACACCUAGCCAUUACACUACUGCCAUAAGCUCGACAGAGAAAGGAAGCAACCAGGGUGACUUGCUCCCUGCUGCUACUGUGCAUGAAAAAAUCAGAAAACAAAAGAGCGCCGAGGGGGGACCGAACCCGCGCCCUCCAACAGGCACACCACACUCGCUACCACUGGGCUACGUUACGAUAACUGACAAAGGAGGGUUGUAUUGAGAGGUAAACUACUUCUACUGCGUGGCUUUGCUCUGCACAGCGCAGGGAAGCGCCGGCGACAGGGAGGCCGCCGUGGCUUCUCUGCUGCUGCUGCUGCGCUACGACGAGAGAAGGCACUGUUGUCGAAGCUGCUACGCGGGGGAAGGGUCCCUGCUACUACUGCAUCGCCGAGACACACCACAACUCUACUGCACCACUGCACCUGCUACCUGACAGAGAGGCACGCGAGCACUUCGCCGGAUCCCGGCCGAUCGAAGGAGGAAGAAGGAAGGGGAGGUGCAGCCUCACCUCGGGAAGGAAGGGAAGAGGCCACCCGCUCGAAGGAGUAGCCGUAGGGGAAGAAGACGCCGUCGGUUCUCUGCUGCUGACGAGGUAGAGGAAGACGACGGGAGCUUUGGGGCCGAGACGAUGACGCGCUGCUGGCCGUCGUUGUGGUCGCCCCUCGUCCUCAAUGCUGGUGGGAAUGGGGCGCGGGGAGCCUCCCCGAUCUCCUGGACAUGGCGACGGCACCGGAAGCCGACGGGAACGGAGGUAGACGACGACGAUGACCUCUCUCUCUCUGCUAUUCCUACAGGACACUUACCGGCGAGGGACGGAAGGGAGACUAGAUGGAGAUGGGGAGAGGUGGCGGCGGCGGCUGAGGGGGGAAGAGGAACCCGCACGGACGCCAACGCUUUAAAGGGGGGAAGCCUCGACGUUGCUGCUGCUCACGGCGUCGGCGAGUUCUCUCUCAGCCUCUGACGGAAAGGAGUAGGGGGGAGAGACGGCGUUAGAGAAAGGAGAAGGAGGCGCGGGGAUGGGCUACUGGAGCGAGAGCGAAGGAAGUUGGGCCACGGGAGGAGGGUUGUGUCCCAAGUUGGCGCCAGGUAUAGAGAAAGAAGCCCUGAGGGGGGGUUUUCUAAUUACAGAAAGGCCUGAAAGAAAAGAAAUAAAACAAGGCAAAACUACUGGGGAUAAAUCAAAAGAAAAUACCCCUUGGUCAUAGAAAAAUAUGACCUAUUUAAAUAAAACAAGAACAAGAUUUUUAGGAGCAAGCAAUAUUUGACAAAACAGAAUUAAUGCCUCUGUUUUGUAUUUAUUGCACCUGUUUACAACACUUUUAAAAUGACCAAACUUGCACAACUUAACACCCACAAUCUCCUCUAAAUAAUAGACAUUUUCAAAUCAGCUUAAGAGCAAGCAAAUAUUAGAACUAGGGAAUAAAGAGAGAAAAGGGUCUUUGAAUUGAGAAGGGCUUUGGAGUAAACAACACCACAUCAUAUCUACUCAUCCCACAUCUCAUGAGCAUCACACAUGAACUCACAAGAUCACAACUCAAGGAAGCAUAAGACCACAAAGCAACAUCACAAGACAUGACAUGAAAUGAUAUGUUAUGCAUGCAUGCAAGGGAAGGAAGUAAUAAGGGACACACAUGAAAUCAUGGCUCAAAAUGACAACAUCAUAUCCAAGACAAGGUGGACCCACUUGCAAUAGGUUCCAAAUAGGGAAGGAUUACACUUGGGGCACUACAACAUGUCAGAGUUAGGAAUAAUGGAAGACACGCCGAAACAAAGAUGUAUCACCAUGUUCACUCCCUUGGAGGGGAGCUACUUGUCGUUGGAGAGGUGGAAAUUCCACAAAGGAAGAAUGAACACCACAAAGGCUCGCCUUCUUCUCCUUGAGAUAUCACCGCAAAGUAGAUUCCCAUCCACUCAUGGUAGACUUUGAGAUGGUCUCCAAACCUUGAAAAACAUUGGGGCAAAUGACAAAUCGAUUUCUCACCUAGAACUCCUACUGCAUGGGAUUCUCCAAUCGCUAAGAGUAACAAGGUCAAAGAAGAAAAUUUUGAAGCUUGCUCAAAUCAUGAAUAGGAUAGGAAAAGAGAGAGGAAUAGAUCUUUGCUUGGGGUGGAAUUCUCGCUCAUAUAUUUCAUAAACUCCACAACAAAUUAAUAAUAUCGGAUAAUUAAUAAUAUAUGUCUAUGUGCAUUGGUCGAUGCACAUGGCGGCCAUUGAUAUUGCCGCCCAACAAUAUCCCUCGCCCGAUGCAACAAAAUCAACAACUGGUUCUAGCAAAAAAUACCGAGAUGCAACAAUUUAGCACAUCCACUAUCAUCCUCGCCGAUUGAAGCAAAUCUCGUGGAAGGUUUUGGCACGGCACCUCUUCGGCCGGAACACACCCCCGUGUCGCACCUUGCUAGUCCCAGCACCAUAGGUCAGCGUCGUAGCAUGUCGGCUCCAACAUGUCGCUGCUGGAUGGGGCGUGGGUCUAUAGGUACGCUGACAGCCAGGGAGGUUCGAACAGGUUGAGAGAGGAGGGGGCGAGAUCGAAUGAGGAAUUCAACACCUGCGACUAAGAGAAGUAGAGCGACGAAGAUGAAGGAAAAACGAGAGAAACAAAUGGAUAAGGUGCACAUUAGAAAAGAAAGCAAUGGAGAUGGGGCCAGGACGAUGUGCGCGGGUACGUGCGUGUGAUUGAUGAAGUGUUCCAUCGGACGACCGAUUAGAAUAUUUUACCUUUCUCGAAGGAGAGCUGAUCGAUGUUUUGCGAGGGUGCAUGAGUCAAGCACAAAAGAAUACGAUGGUUCGAUGCCGAAAAUCGUUUUCUCGGCCGAGGCUCAUGUGCACCCGCAUUGAUGAAAAAAAAUCGAAACCAAUACUAAAAAGUUCAAACAAUCUAUUUUUUUACACGAUAGAUAUAUAGAUGCGUGAGACCCACUAUAAUUUUUAAAUUAUUUGAAUAUCUAUAUAAAAAAGACAGAUUCAAGGUCUCUAAAAAGUUUAAUGUUUAAAUAGUGUUCUGAUCUGAUUUUUUUAUUGAAAGUUGUUCAGAUAGCCAAAUGAUUUAAAAAUUAAAGCAGACCUCAUGUAAAAACUUUUCUACCAUAAAAAUAGAUUUUUUUGAAUCUUUUAAAAAAAAUUAUAAUUAUUUUCUAACCGGGUGCAGAUUAGACUUGACACCGAAACGCUACACUCGACCCUAGCUAUUGCACAUUUUUCUUGUAAACGUCCACAUCGACAUGCAUCCACGUCAACAUAGCUAUCAACCUCUCAUCCUUUUCUCCUUCAUCAAGCACGCUUGAUGAUGACUAUGAAGAAUAGUGUAUUGGAUGGAAGCCGGCGACCGGUAUGCCCAUGCUACACCACGCCUUCUUGUGGUAUGCAGUGUGUAUACCUGGACAUUUUCCGGACCGGGCCGGGUUUCGGGCCGGGCCAAAAAAAACCCGAUGCUAAAAAUCCAGGCCCGAGCCUGGUCCGGCCCAACCGUUAGGCCUGAAUUUUAGGCUCAAGCCUAGCCCGAGACGAAAAAAGGCCGAAUGGGCUUGAUUGGCCCGGCCCGACUAUGGCUUAAUUUUAUUUUUCAAUAGUUCUGAGUCUCGUCCGACAUGACUAUCAGACUCAACUUUUCGGCCCGAGCCCGAUCGGAUGGGACAAAUAGGGCCGGCCCUACUAGUAGAAAAUAGAUCUUUCGGCCAGAGCAGAAAAGAGCAUUAGUCUCGGUUCAAAUUAAAAUCGAGACCAAUGCGAGGCAUUGGUCCUGGUUCGAGUUGCGAGGGAAAUAGUCCCGGUUCGUUUCGUUUCAUUAGUCCCGGUUCGGACAAAAACCGGGACUAAAGAUUCAGCGACUGCCACGUGGCGUGUCGCGUAGCAUUAGACCCGGUUUGUAGCCAGAACCGGGACUAAUAGUUAGUCUUAUGUUCCGGUUCUGGCCACAAACCGGGACCAAAGAGAUGCCUAUAUAUACGCCCCUGCCCACCCUCUCCUUUGUUUUUUGCUUGUGUGAGGUGUGCAUGCCAUGCUCCUGCCACCCUUCUAUAUAUGCAUGCACAUGAGGUGUUCGAUGAAAUGUUUGAGCCACACUAUUUAAGCUUUCUCCUCUCCAAGCUUCAUUUUCCUCAAUAUUUGUCUAGGUUUGGCGGUGCACCAACUACACAACUGUUCUAAAAGGUUGGCUACUUCAUCCUUUCAUCUCUCACUGUUAUUUUGAUUUAGAUGCAAAAUUUGAGCUCAAAUUAACUUCUUAGAGUCUGCACAUGUGUAGGGUCCCGUCCCGUGCCCGUCCUCACCGUUGUCGAUCGCUCGCGCCGAUCUCGUCGCGAGCACCACCGUGGUGAGCCUCUUGUUCUUAUCUUAUUUUUAAAAGAAAAAAAUUCUUCUUUGUAUGAUUUAGAUAGAUACUUGUAUAAAUUACUUACUUUUUUAUUAUUAUUAUAUAGUGCGAUGGUUUUGGUAUCCGCCUCCGUUGGUCCUCGUCGUGUCUAUGAUUCGGAUGUGGUAUAUAUUAUCUUUUAUAACUAUUUAUUUUAUUUAAUGUUUAUUGAAAUUAUGACGACCAACGUGACAUAUAUUUUUUAAUCUAGGAGGUAUGUGAACCGGAAAUUCCAACCCACAUAGAAAUUCUUGUCGAGAAGUUAAAUUUGGUUGAAAAAGAAAACAAUUACUUGAAGAAAAAAUUGAAAAUAAUUGAAGAGAAGAAUAUGGAACUGGAGUUGCAUGUUGCUGAUGUCGUCGAUGAUCGCAAGAUGAAGAUGGAUGCAAUGCGGUUGAAGAUGGAUGCAAUGUGCUUGAAGAUGGAUGAAAUGCGCUUGAAGAUUAGGAAUAUUAGAAAAUAUGCCAUUGAUAAAGAGGCUUGGUAUCAUUAUGCUGUUGGGUGAAUUGUUAGCUUAGUUACGAUUUUGAUCGCAUUUGUUGUUGCAUUUAAAUGUUUUACAUAGUUGUAUGUUGUUUUAUGAGAGAACUUUAUGUAAUUAUUUUUGCAAUAAUAACAUUUGAUCACUACUGUGCUUUGGUUUUAAUGUGAUGAUGAACUUGUAUUAAUUUGGUCAUUUAUCUAUUCAUGAUGUUCCGUAAUGGUUUUUGAUAUACUUAAUUUCAUAAUACAGAUGAACCACCAAUGGAUGUACGGUGACCGACGCACUUCGGAGUACAUUACGAACCGGGACUAAUGCCCGAGUCACACUUAAGUUCACAUAAAAUGGUAUCCUCGACCGAGGUUAGCAACCUUAUCCUUUUCAUGUGUAAUUGAUACAAAAAUAUUGCAUUUGUCCAUGUACGGUGGUCAUUUCACUAUUCAUGUAUGUUGCAGAUCGAUCCAUCGAAGCGAUGGAUGUACGGCGAACGACGCGGUUCUGUAUUUAUUACAGGCCUCCAUAAAUUUAUCGAUGUGGUUGAGGCAAACAAAGUGGAUAAUUUUAUGCCUUGUCCAUGUGUUGACUAUCGAAACGUGAAGGAGUACUCUAGCUCGAAAAUCAUUCAAGGCCACAUGCUUCGGAGAGGUUUCAUGCCCACAUAUUAUUGUUGGACCAUGCACGGAGAAAGAGGGGUUAUGAUGGAAGGCAAUGAAGAAGAAGAUGAUUAUGACAACUAUGCUAUGUUCACUGAAGAAUACGAUGAUACUGCAAUGAAAGACAAUGAAUAAGAAGGAGGUGAAGAACAACCGACAUCUGAUGAGCCCCCUAAUGGUCUUGGUCGGGUCAUUUCUGAUGCAAAGACACAAUGCAAUACAGAUAAGGAGAAGCUGAAGUUGGAGGCCAUGCUAAAGGAUCAUAAAAAGUUGAUGUACCCAAAUUGCAAAGAUGGCAGCACAAAGCUCGGUACCACACUGGAACUGUUGAAAUGGAAGGCAGAAAUUGGUUUAUCUGACAAGGGAUUUGAGAAGCUAAUGAAAAUAUUGAAGCUGAAGCUUCCAAAGGAUAACGAAUUGCCCGAGACUACGUACGAAGCAAAGAAAGCUAUCUGUCCUCUUGGAUUAGAUGUGCAGAAUAUACAUGGAUGCAUUAAUGACUGCAUCCUGUACCGCGGUGAGAAGUACGAGAAUAUGGACAAAUUCCCGGUAUGUACUGCAUGUCGGUACAAGAUCAGACACGAUGAUCGUGGUGAUGUUGAGGGCGAUGACGAGUCCCCCAGGAAGAAGUUCCUGCUAAGGUUAUGUGGUAUGCUCCUAUAAUACCACGGUUGAAACGUCUGUUCAGAAACAAUGAGCAUGCCAAGUUGAUGCGAUGGCACAAAGACGAGCGUAAGAAAGACGGGAAGUUGAGACACCUCGCAGAUGGGUUGUAGUGGAGGAAAAUCGAGAGGGAGUGGCCGGACUUUGGAGAUGACCCAAGGAACUUAUGGAUUGGUCUAAGUACAGACGACAUGAAUCCUUUUGGGGAGCAGAGCUGCAGUCACAGCACCUGGCCCGUGACUUUAUGUAUCUACAACCUUCCUCCUUGGUUGUGCAUGAAGCGGAAGUUCAUUAUGAUGCCAGUGCUCAUCCAAGGACCGAAGCAACCCGGUAAUGACAUUGAUGUGUACCUAAGACCAUUAGUUGAUGAACUUUUGGAGGUGUGGGCCAAACCAGGUGUACGUGUGUGGGAUGAGCACAAACGGCGGGAAUUUGACUUACAAGCAUUGAUGUUCGUACCCAUCAAUGAUUGGCCUGAUCUUAGUAACAUUUCAGGACAGUCAAACAAGGGAUACAAUGAAUGCACGCACUAUUUAGAUAAGACUAGAGGUACAUAUUUGGAAAAAUCUAAGAAGGUUGUCUACCUGGGGUGUCGUCAAUUUCUUCCGACCAAUCAUCCCGUAAGAAAGAAAGGCAAGCAUUUCAACGGUGAGGCAGAUCACCGGAAGAAUCCUAACCUCCCUACUGGUGAUGAGUUAUUGGCUAUGGUUAAGGAUUAGGGUCAAAUAGUAAUCUUUGGAAAGGGUCAUGGCGGUCAAUCUAUUCCGAAAGACGACGUUACCGGACACGUGCCCAUGUGGAAAGAGAAAUCUUUAUUUUGGGAGCUACCCUAUUGGAAACACCUAGAGGUCCUGUCUUCAAUCGACGUGAUGCACGUGAUGAAGAAUCUUUGCGUGAACCUGCUAGGCUUCCUGGGCAUGUAUGGGAAGACAAAAGAUACAACAGAAGCACGAGAGGAGCAGCAACGUGUGAAAGACCCAUACGCCGAGAAGACUGAUAAAGGGCGUCAAUACUUAAGCAGCUACGCUCUUACCAAAGCAGAGAAGGAAAUAUUUUUUGAAUGCCUGAGCAGUAUGAAGGUCCCCGCUGGCUUCUCGUCUAAUAUAAAGGGAAUAAUAAAUAUGGCAGAGAAAAAAAUUCCAGAACAUGAAGUCUCAUGAUUGCCACGUGAUUAUGACGCAGUUGCUUCCGGUUGCAUUGAGGGGGCUUCUACCGGAAAAUGUUCGAUUACCCAUUGUGAAGCUAUGUGCAUUCCUCAAUGCAAUAUUUCAGAAGUUAAUCGAUCAAGAACGUAUGGAAAGGCUACAAAAGGAUGUGGUCCAAUGUCUUGUCAGUUUUGAGUUGGUGUUCCCCCGUCCUUCGUCAAUAUUAUGACGCAUCUCGUGGUUCACCUAAUCGACGAGAUUUCCAUUCUCGGUCCUAUAUUUCUACACAAUAUGUUCCCCUUCGAGAGGUUCAUGGGAGUCUUAAAGAAAUAUGUUCAUAACCGUGCUAGGCCAGAAGGAAGCAUCUCCGAGGGCUAUGGAACAGAGGAGGUCAUUGGGUUGUGUGUAAACUUUCUUCCUGACCUUAAGACGCUUGGUGUUCCUGAAUCGCGGCAUGAGGGGAGACUGAGUGGAAAAGGCAUGCUAGGAAAGAAAGCAGUGAUAUGUAGGGACGGGCAUUCUUUCACUUAAGCACACUACACAGUUCUAAAAAGUUCCACCUUCGUGGCUUCGUAUAUCGAGGAACACAAGAAUUUUGUACGGUCCGAGUUCCCGGGGAAGGCUAUCUCGUGGAUUGAAGAAAAACACAUGUAUACUUUCGGCAGUUGGUUGCGAGCACGUCUCAUGAAUGACAACACUGUUGGAGAUCAACUCUACUUGUUGGCCGCGUUACCUUCUUCAACUGUAUUACAUUUCCAAGGGCACGAGAUAAACGGGAAUACAUUUUACACGACCGGCCAAGAUAAAAAGAGCACCAACCAAAACAGUGGUGUCCGCUAUGAUGCGACAGACGAGAAUGGGAAAAAGGACACAUACUAUGGUUACAUAAAGGAGAUAUGGGAACUUGACUAUGGACCUACUUUUAAGGUCCCUUUGUUUCGGUGUAGUUGGGUGAACAUGAAUGGAGAAGAGGUAAAGGUAGAACAGUUGUACGGAAUGACAAGAGUAGAUCUCAAGAAUCUUGGUUACAGAGACGAGCCAUUCGUCCUAGCCAAUGAUGUGGCUCAGGUUUUCUACGUGAAAGACAUGUCCUCCAGACCGAAAAAAAGAAAAAAAUAAGCAAAUGAAUACAUUGGACUAUGAGCCAAAGCAUCACAUAGUUCUUUCACGGAAAAGAAACAUCGUGGGGAUCGAGGACAAGACAAACAUGUCAGCAUAUUAUAAUAAGUUUGAUGAAAUUCCGCCCUUCAUAGUGAGAAUUGACCCAAGCAUCCCGCUAAAUAAUGAAGAUUCUCCAUGGUUACGGCCAAAGCGAUCAUAGGCAAGGGAUCGAAAUAUAAAUCUAUGUAAUGUAUUAAACUUUAUGUGAUGUGUACUAAUGUAUUAAACUUCGAAAGAGAUUGUCCGUUUUGUACACGAAGUGCAUUCAGUUUUUGUCGUAACCCUCUCAACUUUUUAGCACAUGCUAUGUGGGUGAAAUGAUGAUACCAUGCCAACUUUCAACAUUUUCACAGUUCAUUUGUAGUUCUUUUCAAUUUCAGGGUCAAUUAGUUCAAAAAAAAGUAAAUGCACGAAAAAUACCAAAUGAAGUCAGAAAAUGUUGAAAAUUUAUGAUGUGCCUUUGAAUGGUGCAUUUUGAACACACAAAAAGUAUGAAGUUCAAAGAAGUUCAAAAAAAUGAAAUCCCUUUGUAACAGAUGAGUUCUCAUUCGAAACCCUCAUACUUCAAAAGAGAUUGUCCGUUUUGUACACAAAGUGCAUCCAGUUUUUGUCGUAACCCUCUCAACUUUUUAGCACAUGCUUGUGGGUGAAAUGAUGAUACCAUGCCAACUUUCAACAUUUUCAGAGUUCAUUUGUAGUGCUUUUCAAUUUCAGGGUCAAUUAGCUCAAAAAAAUAAGUAAAUGCAUGAAAAAUACCAAAUGAAGUCAGAAAUUGUUGAAAAUUUAUGAUGUGCCUUUGAAUGGUGCAUUUUGAACACACAAAACGUAUGGAGUUCAAAUAAUUUCAAAAAAAAUGAAAUUCCUUUAUAACACAUGAGUUGUCGUUCAAAGCCCUCAUACUUCGAAAGAGAUUGUCCGUUUUGUAAACGAAGUGCAUCCAAUUUUUGUCGUAACCCUCUCAACUUUUUAUCACAUGCUAUGUGGGUGAAAUUAUGACACCAUGCCAACUUUCAACAUUUUCAGAGUUCAUUUGUAGUGCUUUUCAAUUUCAGGGUCAAUUAGCUCAAAAAAAUAAGUAAGUGCACAAAAAAAUGCCAAAUGAAGUCAAAAAUUGUGGAAAAUUUAUGAUGUGCCUUUGAAUGGUGCAUUUUGAACACAAAAAAGUAUGGAGUUCAAAUAAGUUCAAAAAAAUGAAAUCCUUUUAUAACAGAUGGGUUCUCGUUUGAAACCGUGAUACUUCGAAAGAGAUUGUCCGUUUUGUACACGAAGUGCAUCCAGUUUUUGUCGUAACCCUCUCAACUUUUUAGCACAUGCUUGUGGGUGAAAUGAUGAUACCAUGCCAACUUUCAACAUUUACAGAGUUCAUUUGUAGUGCUUUUCAAUUUCAGGGUCAAUUAGCAAAAAAAUUAGUAAAUGCACGAAAAAUACCAAAUGAAGUCAGAAAUUGUUGAAAAUUUAUGAUGUGCCUUUGAAUGGUGCAUUUUGAACACACAAAACGUAUGGAGUUCAAAUAAUUUCAAAAAAAUGAAAUUCCUUUGUAACACACGAGUUGUCGUUCGAAACCCUCAUACUUCGAAAGAGAUUGUCCGUUUUGUAAACGAAGUGCAUCCAGUUUUUGUCGUAACCCUCUCAACUUUUUAUCACAUGCUAUGUGGGUGAAAUUAUGACACCAUGCCAACUUUCAACAUUUUCAGAGUUCAUUUGUAGUGCUUUUCAAUUUUAGGGUCAAUUAGCUCAAAAAAAUAAGUAAGUGCACAAAAAAUACCAAAUGAAGUAAAAAAUUGUGGAAAAUUUAUGAUGUGCCUUUGAAUGGUGCAUUUUGAACACAAAAAAUUAUGAAGUUCAAAUAAGUUCAAAAAAAUGAAAUCCCUUUAUAACACAUGAGUUCUCGUUCGAAACCUUGAUACUUCGAAAGAGAUUGUCCGUUUUGUACACGAAGUGCAUCCAGUUUUUGUCGUAACCCUCUCAACUUUUUAGCACAUGCUAUGUGGGUGAAAUGAUAAUACCAUUCCAACUUUCAACAUUUCGAGAGUUCAUUUGUAGUGCUUUUCAAUUUCAGGGUCAAUUAGCUCAAAAAAAGUAAAUGCACGAAAAAUACCAACUCAAAAGAAUUUUCAUAAAGUUUUUUUGUUAAAAUAUUUAAUAGAAAAAUAGGGGGGGGGGGAAUAAAAGAGAGAAAAAAAUCUUUAAUAGCAAAGAAUUAAAAUAUAAUCUAGGACUAAGAAAUAUUAAAGUAAAAAAAUAAAAAAUGCCACCUAUUGGGCCAUCACGGCAUGCAUACGACUAGAAACCCUACACGAAAGAUGGGCAAGGAUGCAGACCCGCGGGCACAAUAGGCCCAACAUGCACAGAGAGGAUAGUUAGGCCCAUAGUCCUGCUUUGGAGAGGGCAUGAGAGGCGGGAAGCGAGGGCCUUUAGUCCCGGGUUGGGGCUAGAACCGGGACUAAAGGGGGGGGGGGUCUUUAGUCCCGGUUCUAGCCCCAACCCGGGACUAAAGUUCUACUACCUGUAUCGGGUUAUUGAGACCAUGGAUCUCUUCGAUAGGUGGUAGAUUUUUGACAUCUUCAGAUUUAAUGCAUUUCUCUCGCAUAGAUUUCUUGGCUUCUUGCAUAUCUUCAGGCCUGAGGAAUAUGAUACCUCUUUUCUUCAGAGUUGGCUUAGGAGGUGGUUCGGGAAUAGUCCAAGCAUUCUCAUUGCACAAGAUGUUGUUCAGUAGAAUCUCAGCUUGUUCUAUGGUUCGAUCCCUAAAAACACAACCAGCACAACUACUAGGUGGUCUUUAGAAACAUCGGUAAGUCCAUUAUAGAAGAUAUCAAGUAUCUCAUUCUUCUCAAGAGGGUGAUCAGGCAAAGCAUUCAGUAGCUGGAUAAGCCUCCCCAAGCUUGUGGGAGACUCUCUUCUUCAGCUUGAGCAAAGUUGUAUAUUUCCUGCAAGGUAGCUUGCUUCUUAUGGGCAGGGAAAUAUUUUUUACAGAAGUAGUAGACCAUAUCUUGGGGGCUACGCACAGAACCAGGAGCAAGAGAAGUGAACCAGGUCUUAGCAUCAUCCUUUAGCGAGAAAGGAAACAACUUGAGCAUAUAGUAGUGGCGGAUCUUUUCCUCACUAGUGAAUAGGGUGGCUAUAUUGUGCAGUUUGGUAAGAUGGGCUACAACCAUUACAGAAUCAUAACCGCGAAAAGGAUCAGAUUCGACUAGAGUAAUUAACUCAGGGUCGACAGAGAAUUCAUAAUCCUCAUCGGUCACAAAGAUAGGCGAAGUGGCAAACUUCGGGUCGUAUUUCAUCCUAGCGUUCAGAGAUUUUUCUUUCCACUUGUGUAGAAGUUUCUCAACAUCAUAGCUAUCCUUACACGCAAGAAAAUCCUCAGCUAUCUCUCCCUCCAUAACAUAACGCGUAUCAGGCAUAACAGGCAAUUCAGGUAUAAUAGGAGGUUCUACUUCAAUAGUAUCAGCAGUUUCAGAAGUAUCAUCACAUCUAGCAGCAGCUCUAGCAAUUCGUGCAUCAAGGGCACCUAGUGGAAAAGAAGUAUCAAGCAUGGCAGGCAUAGUAUCAAGCAUAACAUCAUGAGGCAUAGUAUCAAGCAUAGCAUCAUCAGGCAUAGUAUCAAGCAUAGCAUCAUCAGGCAUAGUAUCAAGCAUAGCAUCAUCAUGCAUAGUAUCAAGCAUAGCACCAUCAGGCAUAGUGUCAAGCAUAGCAUCAUGGACUGCAUAAGUAGUAUCAUCAAGCACAGGCGACAUAUCAUUAUUUCUAGAAGGAGGCGAAGUCGCAAACUUACUCAAAACUGAAGGUGAAUCAAGUGCAGAGCUAGAUGGCAGUUCCUUACCUCUCCUCGUAGUGGAAGGUAGGAUUUUAGUUCUUGGAUAUUUCGGAUUCCUCAUAGUGAUCAGCAGACGUCAAUCCCAAGUGACUCAGAGAAUAUAGCUUUGGUUCCCCGGCAACGGCGCCAGAAAAAGCCUUGAUGUCCCACAAGCGUAUGGGAUCGCAACAGUUUUCGAGGGUAGAGUAUUCAAUCCAAAUUUAUUGAUUCGACUCAAGGGGAAGCGAAAGAAUAUUCUCAAGUAUUAGCAGUUGAGUUGUCAAUUCAACCACACCUGAAAGAUUAGUGUGUGCAAGCAAAGUAUUAGUAGCAUGGUAUUACGAUAGCAAAGGUCCCAGAAAAAAGCCUUGGUUGACGAGAUGUUAGUACCGCUUACCUAGCCUCGGCAUCGGCGCCAACAAAGUCUUGCAACAAGUAACAUCAGGGUAGCAAGGAACAGUGGUAGCAGUAGUAGCAGCAAAGUAACAAGUAACAACAGUAGCAACAGUAGCAGCAAAGUGGCCCAAUCCCUCUUGUAGCAAGGGACAAGCCUAGGCAAAGUAACGUAGCAAGAACCAGUAGUAAAAGACUUGUAGGCAGUGGAUCGGUGAUGGAUGAGUGUGACAGAUGUGAUUCAUCAUGUAACAGCUAUAACACGGAGAGAUAUGUGGCUAGCUCCCGUUCAUCAAUCUAAUGUAGGCAUGUAUUCCGUAUGUAGUCAUACGUGCUUAGGGAAAAGAACUUGCAUGACAUCUAUUGUCCAUCCCUCCCAUGGCAGCGGGGUCCAAAUGGAAACUACGGGAUAUUAAGGUUCUCCUUUUAAUAAAGAACCGGACCAACGCAUUAACACGAUGUGAAUACAUGAACUCCUCAUACUAUGGUCAUCUUCAGGAGUGGUUCCGGCUAUUGUCACUCCGGGGUUGCUGGGUCAUAACACAUAGUAGGUGACUACAACUUGCAAGAUAGGAUCAAGAACACACAUAUAUUGAUGAAAACAUUAUAGGUUCAGAUCUGAAAUCAUGGCACUCGGGCCAUAGUGACAAGCAUUAAGCAUAGCCAAGUAGUAGCAACAUCAAUCUAGAACAUAGUGGAUACUAGGGAUCAAUCCCCGUCAAUAACUAACUCGAUUACAUGGUAGAUCUCAUCCAACUCAUCACCGUCCAGCAAGCCUACGAUGAGAUUACUCACGAACGAUGAAGAGCAUCAUGGAAUUGCCGAUGGAGAAAGGUUGAUGAUGACGAUGGCGACGAUUUCCCCUCUCCGGAGCCUGAAACGGACUCCAGAUCUGCCCUCUAGAUGAAGAACAGGAUGUGGCGACGCCUCCAUAUCGCAAAACGCGAUGAAACCUUCUCUCUGAUUUUUUUCAGGUGAAACGGAAGAUAUAGAGCUGAGAUUGGGGGCGGUGGUGCCACGUGGGCCCCACAAGCCUACAUGGCGCGACCGUAGGGGGUGGUCGCGGCCUAUGGGCUUGUGGCCCACUGCCACGCCCCCUCCGGUGGAUCUUUGCGCAGGUAUUUUUCUUUUAUUCCAGAAAAAAUCUCCGUAAAUUUUCAGGACGUUCCGAGAACUUUCAUUUCUGCACAAAAACAACACCAUGGCAAUUCUGCUGAAAACAGCGUGAGUCCGGGUUAGUUCAUUUCAAAUCAUGCAAAUUAGAGUCCAAAACAAGGGCAAAAGAGUUCGGAAAAGUAGAUACGACGGAGACGUAUCAACUCCCCCAAGCUUAAAGCCUUGCUUGUCCUCAAGCAACUCAGUUGACAAACUGAGAGAGACAAAAGAAAAACUUUGACGAAUUCUGUUUGAUCUUGUUGUUGCAACUAUGUCUAACUCAUAACCAGAAUUUCAGCAAGAACACAAUCAAACCAUAUAAGCAAAUGACAUCUAGGUCUCACGGUAAACUCAUAUCAAUGGCAUAAUCAAGUAGCGAGCAAAUAAUAAUAAGCCUCAAGUGUCAACACUUCAAUCAAAACGACAUGAAGCAGUACUAACAGGUGGUAUCUCGCUAGCUCUUUCUGAGACUGCGAAACAUAAAUGCAGAGCACCUUCAAAGACCAAGGGCUGACUAAACAUUGUAAUUCAUGGCAAUGAAGAUCCAGUCAUAGUCACACUCAACACACUUAAAAGCAAAGCAUAAAAAUGACAGAGGUGCUCUCUAAUUGGUGCUUUUGUAAGAAGAGGAUGACUCAAUAGGAACAUAAAUAGACAGGCCCUUCGCAGAGGGAAGCAGUGAUUUGCAGAGGUGCCAGAGCUCAAGCUUUGAAAACAGAGAUAAUAAUUUUGGGUGGCAUGCUCUCAUUGUCAGCGCAAUGACCAAGAGUUCUCAACAUCUUCCACGCUACACAUGCUAUAGGCAGUUCCCAAACAGAAAAGUAAAGUUUUGACUCCCCCACCACCAAUCAAUCACACUCCACGGCUAGGCGAAUCCUCGGGUGCCGUCCAUACCGACAUCAAUCCUGGGGGAGUUCUGUUUGCAAUUAUCUUUUUGAUUUGAGCAUGGAACUCGGAAUUCGAAUUACCGACCCCUUUCUCGUGAAUGAUAGUGAACAAACACAUAUCGAGGAUAACACGCCUAGCAUGGAAGAUACCAAUAGCUCCCUGUCACCACAUGAGCGGUUCGGGCAUGCAAAACAGAUUAUUUCUUGAAGAUUUAGAGAAUGGUACAUGCAAAUUUACUUGGAACGGCAGGUAGAUACCGCACAUAGGUAGGUAUGGUGGAACCGUAUGGAACAACUUUGGGUUUAUGGAAGUGGAUGCACAAGCAGUAUUCCCGCUUAGUACAAGUGAAGGCUAGCAAAAGACUGGGAAGCGACCAACUAGAGAGCGACAACAGUCAUCAAAAUGCAUUGAGAUUAACUAACAUUGAGUGCAAGCAUGAGUAGGACAUAAAUCACCAUGAACAUGAACAUCAUAGAGGCUAUGUUGAUUUUGUUUCAACUACAUGCGUGAACAUGCGCCAAGUCAAGCCACUUGAAACAUUCAAAGGAGGAUACCAUCCUAUCAUACUACAUCAUAGUCAUCUCAACAUUCAAGUGGGCAUCCAAGACAAACCAUUAUAAGCUCCUAGCUAAGUAAGCAUGGCAUAAGCAACUAUGAUCUCUAAGCUAUCAUUGCAAACAUGUUUCCCUCACAACAAAGCUGAACCAGGCAUAAUGAGCUAGUCAUAUUUACAAAAACAAAAUAGAUCGGGUUCAUACCAGCUUUUCCAGGCUCAGUCACUUCAUCAUAUAUCCUCAUUGUUGCCUUUCACUUGCACGACUGAGCGAUGUGAACAAUAAUAAGAGUGCUCGUGCAUUGGACUAAAGCUGGAAUCUGCAGGCAAACACAAAGGAGAAUACAAAGAAAUAUGGCUCUUUGAAAGCUGAACAGGUAUGCAUGCAAGAGCCACUAAACAUUGUAACCAAUAUCUUCUACCUUGACCCAAAGAAAAAGAAAACUAUCUACACGGGAAAGCUCUAAACAAGCAAAAGAAGAAAAGAAAAUCUUUUUGGUUUUUUCUCAAACUAGACAGACACACGAAAAGAAAACGAGAAAAAGAAAAUAAACUAACAUGGAUGAUACAGUGGCAAAGUGUGAACACCGGCUAACAAAGUGAAAGCAUAAGCAAGAUUGUAAAGUCGGUGAGAACACAUACUCCCCCAAGCUUAGGAUUUUGGCCUAACUUGGUCUACUCCCAAGGACGGUCCUGGCGAAACCCAAAAUCAUAGUCGGGGUUAUACGGGAGCGCUGCAGUCACUGCCUGAAUAGCUGCCUCACGGAGACGAGCAACCGUCGCCUCCCUCUCAUACUCCUAUGCCUCUCCUUUGGUUAUGUAAUAUCUCUAUUUUACCUGAAAGUCAAAGAAAGCAGGAGCAGGAUGGGUAAUAUGGAAAACACGCUGCCGGUUAAAUAUCAAUCGGUAUAGGAGGGAUUCAUCAUCCCUCUCAAGGAACUGGUAGCGUGUCAUAGCGACGCGGUCAGGGAAAGCUGUAUGGAGCAGGGGAUCUCCUUCGCGGAUGGGUACUCCAAGGAAAUUUGCUAUGCGAGUGGCAUAAAUCCCACCAAAGAAGUCCCCUUCAAUAGCAUUCUUAUUCAGCCUCCUUGCUAUAAUAGCUCCCAUGUUGAAGCUUUUGUCACCCGUCACUGCACUCUUAAGGAUACAAAGGUCGGGUGCGCAGAGGUGACAAUGCUCAAUCUUGCCAUUAAUGCAUCUGCCUAUGAAGAGGGCAAAGUAAUGCAAGGUAGGGAAAUGAAUACUCCCCAUGGUAGCUUGUGUAAUGUAUCUAGUUUCUCCAACCGUAAUACCAGCGCAAAAAUCUCUAACCAAAGAUUUAGGAGGAUCAUUGAGGUUACCCCAAAUAGGUAUUUUGCAAAUUCUACUGAAAUCCUCUAAAUCCAUGGUAUACGAUUUAUCAUAGAGAUCAAAAAGUACCGAUGGCUCACGGCCAGCUGAAAAUUUGAAUCUACGAAUAAAAGAGGCAGUGAGAGCAACAUACUGUUCACAUUUAUCGGAGAUGAAUUCUUCGAGUCCGACGUUGCGAUCAAAUGCAUUAAACUCAUCUUUGAAACCUGCAUCAAUCAUAAAUUCAUCAGAAGGCCAUUCACAUGGUUGUACGUGCGCGUCCCUAGGUUGGUAAGGAUCAGGCUCCCGAAUCGCAAGACGGGGACCUCUCUUGUUUGAGGAACCACCAUGAUAGUUUCUCCUGAACAUCUUCCUUUUCUGAAAUUUUCAGUGACCCAAAGGAAAGGUGAACAAGGUUCAACUAAACUUGUAGCAACUACUCCCACAAGUGCCUAGAGACCAUAUUACGCAUCAAAACUACUUGGGACCAGCUAGAAUCAGCAUACAAAGCUCAAGAACAUGGUCAACAAGGCAGCAAAAAUACGCGAAGUAUAAGGCACUAGAGCAAAAACUAAUUGGACCAAUGGAGGAGUCUCUUACCAAGGAGUAAUUUCCCCAAAACAGUUCGGAGAACGGUGAUUUGAGCAAAGAUAUCGAAAAUCCCAGCAAGAGGAGCAAGAACACGGGUUUGAGCUGCGAAACAAAUUUUUUCUGGAAGUAGGAAAGCAGAUGGGAGCAAGAGUGAGUGGAGGGGGUGCCUGUGGGCCCCACAAGCAUGGGUGGCGCGGCCAGGGGGGUGCCCGCGCCCCUAGGGCUUGUGGCCCACUGGUGUGGCCCCCAGACAGACUCUUUGUCCCAGUAUUUUUCAAAUAUUCCAGAAAAAAUCAUACUAGAUUUUCACAGCGUUCAGAGAACUUUUAUGUUCGGGGUAUUUUUCUACCGGACGGUAAAACAAAAAACAGAGAAAACUAAACUAAAUAUAUCAUUUUUCUUCUAAGCAACCGAAAGUGAAAGCUUGGAACGGAGGUUUGUGACUCCUUGAUUCAUCCAUCUCAUGGUCAUCGAAAGAAAUGUGUCAAUGGGGUUUAUCAAAUCCCCUCGACAAAACUUUCUCGAAUCGCAAAAGAAGACGGAGAAUUUUCGAAUCGUCACUAGGUCACCUCAAUGGGGAUGUGUAUCUCCCCAACAAGCAAAUCAUACUUCAUCUUGACACGAGGAAUAGGGCAUUCAAAGCUCCCAAUAAGAAUCGAUGAAGUUUUUUCGAUAGCAUUGAUGCAAUGUACUCGAUAUUGUUUCUUCGGAAAGUGCACCGUAUGCUCAUUACCGUUGACAUGGAAAGUGACAUUGACUUUGUUGCAAUCUAUAACAGCCCUUGCAGUGUUUAAAAAGGGUCUUCCGAGGAUGACAGCCAUGGCAUCUUCCUCGGGAAUAUCCAAGAUAACAAAGUCUGUUAAGAUAGUGGUGUUAGCAACCACAACAGGCACAUCCUUGCAAAUGCCGAUAGGGAAGGCAGCUGAUUUGUCGGCCAUUUGCAGAGAGAUUUUAGUGGGUGUCAACUUAUCCAGCUCAAGUCUACGAUAAAGAGAGAGAGGCAUAACACCAACACCGGCUCCAAGGUCGCAUAACGCAGUUCUAACAUAGUUGACUUUAAUGGAGCUUAUAGUGGGCACACCGGGAUCACCUAGUUUCUUAGGAGUUCCACCCUUGAAAGUGUAAUUAGCAAGCAUGGUGGAGAUCUCAAGAUCAGGUAUCCUCCUCUUAUUAGUCACAAUAUCUUUCAUGUACUUAGCAUACGGAGACAUUUUGAGCAUAUCUGUCAAAUGCAUCUGCAGAAAGACAGGUCUGAUCAUUUCAACGAAGUGCUCAAAAUCCUCAUCAUCCUUUUUCUUGGAUGGUUUGGGAGGAAAGGGCAUAGGUUUCUGAACCCAUGGUUCCCUUUCUUUACCAUGCUUCCUAGCAGUGAAGUCAUUCUUAUCGUAUCUCUUAGUCUUAGGCUGUGGGUUAUCAAGAUCAACAGGUUCAAUCUCCACAUCCUUUUCAUUGCUAGGUUGAGCAUCUUCAUGAACAUCACUAUUGAUAUCAUCAUUAGGCUCAUGUUUAUCACCAGAUUGUGUUUCAGCAUCAGAGAUAGAGGCACCGUUUGGACUCUCAGGGGUAGCAGCAACAGGUUUGCUAGCAUGAAGGUUCCUAUCAUCUCUCUUCUUUUUUUCUAGGAUGACUAGCUGCAUCAGUGCUAACUCCUUGAGACUCUUGUUCAACUCUCUUCGGAUGACCCUCAGGAUACAGAGAUUCCUCGGUCAUUCUACUGUCUCUAGUAACGACUCUGACGGCAUUGUCAUUCAACUCAUAGAGCAAGUCAUUCUGAGCUUUAAGUACUUGUUCUACCUGAGUAGUAACCAUAGAGGCAUGUUUACUCAGGAGCUUAAGAUUAUUUACAUUUCUAUCCACACAAGCACUUAAAUGAUUGAGCAUACGAGCAUUCUUUUCCAAUUGUCUGCUAACAUAAUCAUUGAAACUUUGUUGUUUGGCAACAAAGUUAUCAAAUUCGUCCUAGCAUAAGCUAGCAGGUUUAUCAAAAGGAAUAUCACUCUCAUCAAACCUACGCAGAGAAUUUACUUCUACUACCUGUAUCGGGUUAUCGAGACCAUGGAUCUCUUCGAUAGGUGGUAGAUUUUUGACAUCUUUAGAUUUAAUGCCUUUCUCUCGCAUAGAUUUCUUGGCUUCUUGCAUAUCUUCAGGACUGAGGAAUAGCAUACCUCUUUUCUUCGGAGUUGGCUUAGGAGGUGGUCCGGGAAUAGUCCAAGCAAUCUAAUUGCACAAGAUGUUGUUCAGUAGAAUCUCAGCUUGUUCUACGGUUCGUUCCCUAAAAACACUACCGGCACAACUAUCUAGGUGGUCUUUAGAAGCAUGGGUAAGUCCAUUAUAGAAGAUAUCAAGUAUCUCAUUCUUCUCAAGAGGGUGAUCAGGCAAAGCAUUCAGUAGCUGGAUAAGCCUCCCCCAAGCUUGUGGGAGACUCUCUUCUUCAGCUUGAGCAAAGUUGUAUAUUUCCUGCAAGGCAGCUUGCUUCUUAUGGGGAGGGAAAUAUUUUUCAAAGAAGUAGUAGACCAUAUCUUGGGGGCUACGCAAACAACCAGGAGCAAGAGAAGUGAACCAGGUCUUAGCAUCAUCCUUUAGCGAGAAAGGAAACAACUUGAGCAUAUAGUAGUGGCAGAUCUUUUCCUCACUAGAGAAUAGGGUGGCUAUAUCGUGCAGUUUGGUAAGAUGGGUUACAACCGUUUGAGACUCAUAACCGUGAAAAGGAUCAGAUUCGACUAUAGUAAUUAACUCAGGGUCGACAGAGAAUUCAUAAUCCUUAUCGGUCACAAAGAUAGGCGAAGUGGAAAACUUCGGGUCGUAUUUCAUCCUAGCGUUCAGAGAUUUUUCUUUCCACUUGCGCAGAAGUUUCUCGACAUCAUAGCUAUCCUUACACGCAAGAAAAUCCUGAGCUAUCUCUCCCUCCAUAACAUAGCGCGUAUGAGGCAUAACAGGCAAUUCAGGUAUAGUAGCAGGUUCUACUUCAAUAGUAUCAGCAGUUUCAGAAGUAUCAUCACAUCUAGCAGCAGCUCUAGCAAUUCGUGCAUCAAGGGCACCUAGUGGCAAAGCAGUAUCAAGCAUGGCAGGCACAGUAUCAAGCAUAGCAUCAUCAGGCAUAGUAUCAAACAUAGCAUCAUCAGGCAUAGUAUCAAGCAUACAAUCAUGAGGCAUAGUAUCAAGCAUAGCAUCAUCAGGCAUAGUAUCAAGCAUAGCAUCAUCAGGCAUAGUAUCAAGCAUAGCAUCAUGGACAUCAGAAGUAGGAUCAUCAAGCACAGGCGACAUAUCAAGAUUUCUAGCAGGAGGUGAAGUCGCAAACUUACUCAAAACUGAAGGUGAAUCAAGUGCAGAGCUAGAUGGCAGUUCCUUACCUCUCCUCGUAGUGGAAGGUAGGAUUUUAGUUCUUGGAUCUUUCUGAUUCCUCAUAGUGAUCAGCAUACGUCAAUCCCAAGUGACUCAGAGAAUAUAGCUAUGGUUCGCCGGCAACGGCGCCACAAAAAGCCUUGAUGUCCCACAAGCGUAUGGGAUCACAUCAAUUUUUGAGGGUAGAGUAUUCAACCCAAAUUUAUUGAUUCGACUCAAGGGGAAGCGAAAGAAUAUUCUCAAGUAUUAGCAGUUGAGUUGACAAUUCAACCACACUUGAAAGAUUAGUGUCUGUAAGCAAAGUAUUAGUAGCAAGGUAGUAUGAUAGCAACGGUGCCAGAAAAAAGCCUUGGUUGACGAGAUGUUAGUACCGCUUAGCUAGCCUCAGCAACGGCGCCAACAAAGUCUUGCAACAAGUAACAGCGGGGUAGCAAGGAAUAGUAGUAGCAGCAGCAACAAAGUAACAAGUAACAGCAGUAGCAACAGUAGCAGCAAAGUGGCCCAAUCCCUCUUGUAGCAAGGGACAAGCCUAGGCAAAGUAACGUAGCGAGAACCAGUAGUAAAAGACUCGUAGGCAGUGGAUCGGUGAUGGGUGAGUGUGACGGAUUUGAUUCAUCAUGUAACAGCUAUAACACGGAGAGAUAUGCGGCUAGCUCCCGUUCAUCAAUCUAAUGUAGGCAUGUAUUCCAUAUGUAGUCAUACGUGCUUAGGGAAAAGAACUUGCAUGGCAUCUAUUGUCCAUCCCUCCCGUGGCAGCGGGGUCCUAAUGGAAACUACAGGAUAUUAAGGUUCUCCUUUUAAUAAAGAACCGGACCAACGCAUUCACACGCGGUGAAUACAUGAACUCCUCAUACUAUGGUCAUCUCCAGGAGUGGUUCCGGCUAUUGUCACUCCGGGGUUGCCGGGUCAAAACACAUAGUAGGUGACUAUAACUUGCAAGAUAGGAUCUAAAAUACACAUAUAUUGGCGACAACAUAAUAGGUUCAGAUCUAAAAUCAUGGCACUCAGGCCCUAGUGACAAGCAUUAAGCAUAGCCAAGUAGUAGCAACAUCAAUCUAGAACAUAGUGGAUACUAGGGAUCAAUCCCCGUCAAGAACUGACUCGAUUAUCCCGUCCAGCAAGCCUACGAUGAGAUUACUCACGAACGAUGAAGAGAAUCAUAGAAUUGUCGAUGGAGAAAGGUUGAUGAUUACGAUGGCGACGAUUUCCCCUCUCGGAAGCCCGAAACGGACUCCAGAUCUGCCCUCCAGAUGAAGAACAGGAUGUGGCGGCGCCUCCGUAUCGCAAAACGCGAUGAAACCUUCUCUCUGAUUUUUUCCAGGUGAAACGGAAGAUAUAGAGCUGAGAUUGGGGGCGGUGGUGCCACGUGGGCCCUACAAGACUGCAUGGCGCGACCAUAGGGGGUGGCCGCGGCGUGUGGGCUUCUGGCCCACUCGCACGCCCCCUCCUGUGGAUCUUUGCGUAGGUAUUUUUCUUUUAUUCCAGAAAAAAUCUCCGUAAAUUUUCAGGACGUUCCGGGAACUUUCAUUUCUGCACAAAAACAACACCAUGGCAAUUCUGCUGAAAACAGCGUCAGUCCGGGUUAGUUCCAUUCAAAUCAUGCAAAUUAGAGUCCAAAACAAGGGCAAAAGAAUUCAGAAAAGUAGAUACGACGGAGACGUAUCACCCCCCGACGCCCUCCGAUGCCUCCCCCGCGGCCACCCCCUCCCCCACAACUCCGGACGACCCCUUCCCCAUCGCCCGCGCCACCCCGGGCCCCUUACCCACCACGGCGCCACCCCCUUCCCCACCGCGGCGCUACCCCCACCGUAAGUUCUUUUUUUUUUGCCUUUUUUCAUUUCAUUGCAUGUAUAUAUAUAUAUCAUUAGGUUAAUUUAGUUAGUUUAGGGCUCUGUUAGUGUUAGUUUAGAUCAAAUAGGUUAGUUUAGGGCUCUGUUAGUUUAGGUCAUUAGUUUAAUUUAGUUAGUUUAGUGCUAAAUAUGUUAUUGUUAGUUUAGGUUAAGUAGGUUAUUAGUGCAAAAAAGAAGAUUUUGGUUAGGUUUUGAUUUGGCAUAUAAAUGAUUUGACAUAUAAAUGAUUUAGGUUUUAGAGUAGAUUUGACAUAUAAAUGACAUAUAAAUGAUUUAGGUUUUAGAGUAGAUUUUACAUAUAAAUAAUGAUUUGACAUAUAAAUGGUUAAGGAUUUCCUUUUAUUGUUUUAAGUCUGCUACUCGUAUUUCCGUGUUAACAUUUUUGAACUAUUUGCAAAAGAUUGAUGAAUUUUGACAUUUGCAAAAGUUUGUUAUGUAUUUGCAAAUAAUUAGUAUAUAUAUUUAGACAAUGGAUUCUCUUAGUCCUUUAAUAAUAAAUGGAUUUAUCAAGAAUGCCACAUUAUGUAUGUGCACAAGUUGAUCCAAUUUUUUUCCUGAUCUCAUCUAUGUAACCUAGCUAGCUAGCUUCUAUAUGUCACGUUGUUUGUCAAAGUAUUGAAGAAAUCCAUGGCUUCAUCAUUACCUGGUAGUAAUAGACGCAUGAUGCUAUGAAGCUCUUGAAAGUUGUUUUGGAACGGAGUUCCUGAUAGGAUAAUUUUCUUUUUGGUACGAAGUCCAACAAAGUCCUUCCAAAUAGCGAUAUUUGGAUGGUUCUUUUUGAACUGCGUACCAAAAAGCUAAUUAUCCUAUUCGGGAUUCCGUUACAAAUCAACUUUGUAAAGCUUCAUAGCAUCAUGCGCCUAUUACUACCAGGUAAUGCUGAAGUCAUGGGUUUCUUGAAUCCUUUGACAGUAGACAAUGCGAUAUAUAGAAGGGUAGAUGAGAUCAGGAAAAAUAUGGAUCAUUUUCUGCACAUCCAGAAUAUCGCCAUUUUGUUAAAUCCCUUAAAGGUUAAGAGAAUCCGUUAGACAUAUUUUAGAGUAUAGAUUCACUCAUUUUUCUCCGUAUGUAGUUUUCUGGUGAAAUAUUUAAAAGGUCUUAUAUUUUGGAACGAAGGGAGUACAAGUUUAGAAAAGUUUAUUAAAUAGUAGUAAUUUAAAUAGUAGGACAUAUGAUGCCCGGCCCGCAUCCUCGUCGUCGACUCGGUGGCGACCACCUGCUUGAUAGGCGCCAGCAUAUGCGGGACUGGGCUCCGUCGGGCUGGCACUAGGAGGAGUUAUCUUCCGGGAUGCGUAGCUUGGUGAGGAACCGGGCUCCCGUCGUCGGCCCGGAGCUUCUUUGGUGGCAGUCGCGGGGGCCACUUUUCAUGCCUAGGGUGCCGACCCCCGAGGAGGAGGUACGUCGCCGUGUCAGGGAGGAGGACGAGCACGUCCAUCGCUACAUGGAGGCGUUGGAUGCCAGGUUCUCUAGUACCUGGAAGGUUCUUCAGGGAUCUAACCCGAGCUAUGAUCCGGUGAUGGUCCCUGCUCUUUGGGUGUCCAUCACCCGCGCCUUAGUACAACGACGGCUCUUUGUUGGUUGAUCAGUUAUAUAUUAUUCGAGAGAUGUAUUACUAUAUUCGAGAGAUGUAUUAUUUAUGUAUUCCAGAUUAUAUAUUCGAUAAUAUUAAGUGGAUUAUUGGAUGAUGCAUUAAUUAAGCGGAUUAUUCGAUGUAUAUAAGCGGGAGUUUUAGUUGUUAGUUAAUUUAGUUUUUUAUGUUUAAUUAAUUUGUAGAUACUAUGGAUCCAAUACACGACACAGACGAAUAACAUGAAGACGUGAUGCAUGGUGUCAUCCGCGGGGAUGAUAUUUUAGUUGGCGAUAUCGAUGUCACCAAUCAGUUUUUGAACGAGUCCAGCGAGGGAGAUGAGUCUCUCAACACAGGAGGUAGAAGCUCUGGUGAGGUAGAAGCCCACGCCUCGGGCCAGGGAGGAAUCGACGACUCCAAUGAGGAAGAAGCCGACGAGGGAGAAGUCGACCGCUCCGUGGAGGUGCAUAUAUAUAUAUAUUAAUAAAUUAAUCCUCUGCUAUAUACAUAUACUAACACUCUUUAUUUUAGCCCUCCGGAUCGAGCAAAACUUCAGUACAGACGAAACGAGGCCCAACCAAGAAGAUAGAUGACGGUGAGAGGUACAGGAACGAAAGAGUCUCAAAUAUCGGGCAACCAAUUGCUCCCACAGAUGUAAAGCAUAAGUUUGUGAAGGCAUGCAGAGUUGUUGUUAGGGACCACAUCCCGAUCACCACUCAAGAAUGGAUUAAGCCAAGGGAGGUAGGAGUCUCAUAUGUCGGCACAGCAGCCAAAGAAAACCUUUGGAGAAAGAUCAUGCUUCAUUUCACCCUGUCGGCGCCAGAGGUGGAUCCAGAUGAGGAGGAGCCAAGUGAGGAGGAAAUGAAGAGGAGAAAAGAGGCCUUAGAGAAAAAAGUCAAGGAGUGGGAUCUUAAGAAAAUGGCCGAUCUAUUCAUGGGCUAGAAAAAAAGAUUGCACCAGGAAUUUAUCUUGAAAGAUAAGACUCCAGAUUUCGAUAACGGCUAUGAUAAGAUAAAGACUACUGGGCCGAAUUUGUGGCGUACAAGAAAUCAGAGGAAGCCUUGAAAAAGUCUGCAAAAAAUAAGACGAAUGCACGUAAGAAGAAGUACCACCAUAUUAUGGGGCAUGGUGGCUACGGCGGUCACAUGGCUAAGUGGGAAGCACUUGAGGCAUCAUUUUUGAAGAAAAAAUCACUCCACAGCCCUUAAUAUGGCUCGAACGGGGAAGAAACUGGUUUUACGGGCAUGGGGGUUUGUUGGACGAACAAGGGAAAGCAAUAUAUAACCAAAGACACAAAGAUAAUCCCCUACCCAUCAAGGACAUUAGACGUGCAGUACAUGAUGUUGAAGAGGGAUGGUUCAUUCCCGAUAGAGAGAACGCCGAGCUCACACGCGCCCUUGGGAAUGAUGAACACAAAGGAAGAGCACGAGGCUUACCAGGCUCCCCGCCGUGGAUGCUUGCGUUUUCCGAGGAAAGGAAGAGAUUUCCCGAUAGAAGCCAUCAGAGGAGAAGGUAAAAGGAGGCAACUGAGAAAGCGGCUGAUGCAGACCAGCCGCAUAUUCUAGAAGAAGCAGUAAAGCGACUGCAACAUGAUCAAAUCGACAGACAACAAGGUAGCGGCCAAUCUCAGCGGCUCAUGAUAGAAGCUGCAUUGAUUCGAAAAAGCAGUGUCGCUUCCACGCAGCUCCAGGAUGAUGGUGAUGAUGCAGUGACGAUGGAUCCUCCUCGUCGCUGCCCAGUGGAUGAUAUCAUAGAGAGCACACCUUGUGAUCUAAAGGUGAAAGUUGCUAACUUAAGGUUGACGGUGGCGGUCGGCAUGGCCAUACCAAUUGGACAUAAUCCAACUGGGCAUUGCUCUCCGGUUCCAUAAGGGUACGCUGUCAUCGCGGUGGAUGAAGUGAUGAAAGGUUAUCAGGAGCUGAAGCUCGAACACCCUGCAUGUGAAGAUAGGGAUUUGACUCAACUUGGAGAAGUCAAGAAACAAACCGUUGUAUGGCCAAAGGAGGACAUCUUGCUUCCAAAUUGGACGCCAAGGCCACCGACUCCUCAGCGCAGCAAUCCUUCUUCGCCUCCACCUUACCAGUCUCCAACGCUAUCAUCGUCUUCGCUGCCUCACCACUCUCCAACGCAACCGUCGUCUUUGCCACGUCAUCAGUCUCCAGCACAGUCAACUCCACCGCCACAUCAGCCGUCUCCACCGCCCCGUCAGCCUUCUCCGUCCACUGAGGACCAGAGUAAAAAGCAGAACCAUAUCACCGCUAAUAGUGGAGGCAUAAAGGGGUUUCGACCACCAAAACAUAAGUUGUCGCCCCUCCCAAAAGUACCUCAUAAGGAUAUGGAGAAGAGACCUUGGGACUAUACUAGGGAGGAUAUUAUUAAGAGGACGGACGUCCAUCAUCAACAGUGGAUGGCUGACAAGGCUAACAAGAAGAAGCCGAAAGAGCUAGAGUUCCCGGUUACCCCAGAAGAUCACGCCGCGUGCGUGAAAAUGCUGAAAACCCUUGCAGAUCCCCCACCACUGUUGCCAGCAGACUAUGAACGCUCUAUUCUCAAGUCGGCUCAGGCAAAAAAGCAGUGGUUGAAGAGUAGUACGUCCAGUUGCGCAGCUCGGACAAUAGAAAAACCAAUCGUGCCCCCUGCUCAAAGUGUAUUCCGAUACAAAGGUGUGCUCGAGCGGAGCUGCGGUCGAGCAAAGGAAUGAUGAAACAGCUGGUAUCGAUCCGGAGUUUGUUGCACUAUACGGAGAAGCGAUCGAGGCUCAUGGCAUGUAUAUUGAUGAGUAGUUGAACCAUAUGCAGGAAUUCGCUGACAUAACAUACGUGUACCGGUACGGGCUCCUCUCGUCAAACCUGAGUUAGUCAAUGAUCUACCAACAAAAAUGCGAAGAUUGCAUGACUGGUACAUGCGAGCAUGUGCUGAACGGCAAAACCGGAUCUACUGUGCAUAUAAAGACGAGCAUUACGGGCAUGGAGAAUGUGUUCUAAUGAUUGAAUUCGACGAAUUAUUUCAGUUAUACAAACAAGAACCCUCGACAAAUCUAUCAUCAGUGCCUAUUGUUUGUAAGUAUUAUUAAUUUAUGUCAUUGAGUCUUACUCAGCUCGUUCUUGCAUGUAUAAUCUUACUCAUUGAUAACCCACAAGUAUAGGGGAUCGUAACAAUUUUCGAGGGUAGAGUAUUCAACCCAAAUUUGUUGAUUCGACAGAAGGGGAAGCCAAAGAAUAUUCUUGAGUAUUAGCAGUUGAGUUUUCCAUUCAACCACACCUGAAAGACUUAGUAUCUGCAUCAAAGUUUCAGUAACAGAGUAGUGAUAGUAACGAUAGCAGCGGUAACAAUAGCAGUUGUGACAACAGUAGCGGUAACAGUAGAAGCAGUGACAUCAGUAGCGGUAAAGUAACGUAGGAAGGACAAGUAGGAAAAGACUCGUAGGCAUUGGAUCGGUGAUGGAUAAUUAUGUCGGAUGACAUUCAUCAUGUAACAGUUAUAACAUGGGGUGAUUUGUAACUAGCUCCAGUUCGUCAAUGUAAUGUAGGCAUGUAUUCCGUAUAUAGUCAUACAUGCUUAUGGAAAAGAACAUGCAUGACAUCUAUCGUCCAUCCCUCCCAUGGCAGCGGGGUUUGCUACUUCUCAAACAACAGUGCCAAAAAUUGACAUGUUUACGGAGACUGGGCUUGCCUUGGUGUUUCCCUUGAAGAGGAAAGGGUGAUGCAGCACAUGAGCAAUAAGUAUUUCCCUCAGUUUGAGAACCAAGGUAUCGAUCCAGAAGGAGGUUCUCGUCAAGUCCAGAGUACCUGUGCAAACACAAAAGAUCUUGCACCCAACGCUUCAAAGGGGUUGUCAAUCCCUUCAAGAUUGUUUGCAAAGUGAGAUCUGAAGGCGGAAAGUGGAACGAAGUAAAAAGUGUAAGGCUGAAAAUAUGGUGUGGAGUAGACCAGGGGGCCAUAGUGUUCACUAGAGUCUUCUCUCGAAAUAGCAAAUAUCACGGUGGGUAAACAAAUUACUGUCGAGCAAUUGAUAGAACCGCGCAAAGUCAUGACCAUAUCUAAGGCAAUGAUCAUACAUAUAGGCAUCACGUCCGAGACAAGUAGACCGAUACUUUCUUCAUCUACUACUAUCACUCCACACAUUGACCGCUAUCCAGCAUGCAUCUAGUGUAUUGAGUUCAUGACGAACAGAGUAACGCCUUAAGCAAGAUGACAUGAUGUAGAGGGAUAAUCUCAAACCAAUGAUGAAAACCCCAUAUUUUUACCCUUGAUGGCAACAACACGACGCGUGCCUUGCUACCCCUUCUGUCACUGGGCGAGGUCACUGCACGGUAUGAACCCAAAACCAAGCACUUCUCCCAUUGCAAGAAUCAUAGAUCUAGUUGGCCAAACAAAACCCACAACUCGAAGAGAAUUACAAGGAUACGAAAUCAUGCAUAAGAGAGAUCAGAAGAAACUCAAAUAAGAUUCAUAGAUAAUCUAAUCAUAAAUCCACAAUUCAUCGGAUCUCGACAAACAGACCGCAAAAGAAGAUUACAUCGGAUAGAUCUCCAUGAAGAUCAUGGAGAACUUUGUAUUGAAGAUCCAAGAGAGAGAAGAAGCCAUCUAGAUACUAACUAUUGAACCGUAGGUCUAUGGUGAACUACUCACGCAUCAUCGGAGAGGUCAUGGUGUUGAUGAAGAAGCCCUCCGUGUCCGAAUCCCCCUCCGGCAGGGCACCAGAACGUGCCCCAGCUGGGAUCUUGCGGAGACAGAAGCUUGCGGUGGCGGAAAAGUGAUUUCGAUGAUCUCUUGUUUUUUGGGAUUUUUAGGGAAUAUAUGGGCGCAACCCCUAGGGCAAGGGCGCCCAGGGGGCCCACAAGCCUGUGGGCCACGACCUACCCCCUGGCCGCGGGGUGGGGGCUUGUGGGGCCCCUGAGGCUCCCCUGCCUUGGCUCCCAAGAUCCCCGAUCUUCUUCCGUUACAAAAAAAUCUUUUCGAGGAUUUUCUUCCGUUUGGACUCUGUUUCAAAAUCUCGUGUGAAAGUGGUCAAAAACAUGGAAAAAACAGGAACUGGCACUUGGCACUGAGUCAAUAAGUUAGUCCCAAAAAAUAUAUAAAAGGCAUGCAAAACAUCCAAAGCUUGACAAGAUAAUAGCACGAAACCAUCAAAAAUUAUAGAUACGUUGGAGGCGUAUCAAGCAUCCCCAAGCUUAACUCCUGCUCGUCCUCGAGUAGGGAAGUGAUAAAGAACGAAUUUUUGAUGUGGAAUGCUACCUAGCAUAGUUGUCCUUUGCAACUUAUUUCACGUGACAUGAAUGUUCAGAUCCGUAAGAUUCAAAACAAUAGUUUGCUAUUGACAUGAAAACAAUAAUACUCCAAGCAAACUAGCAAGGUAAUCAUGAACUUUCAAAAUAACAAGGCCAAGGAAAGUUAUCCCUACAAAAUCAUAUAGUCUGGCUAUGCUCCAUCAUCCUCACACAACUAAUGUAAAUCAUGCACAACCCCGGUAUGAUCCUCUCCCUAUAGUNNNNNNNNNNNNNNNNNNNNNNNNNNNNNNNNNNNNNNNNNNNNNNNNNNNNNNNNNNNNNNNNNNNNNNNNNNNNNNNNNNNNNNNNNNNNNNNNNNNNGAGAACGCGGCACGAGAGGCAGGGCAGCGCGCUGCCUUUUAUGGCACGCGCGGGACGCGGCGCCGCAAAAAUGACGCACGGGCUGCCGCCUUUUCGCGCGCGCUAGCGGUUCCCUCGCGCGCGGUUUUUUCCCGCCGCCGCUGGAGCGCGCAUUUCAGUCCCGCGCGCGGUAAACUGGCGUUUUUUAGCGUGCGCGGCUUUUUGCGCGCCUGUUGGAGAUGCUCUAAGCCAUGCAGGCAGAGAUUAUAAAACAAGCUGUGCACUGCAGCCCUGCAGGACUCGGCCGGCAAGGCGCCAAGCUGGAGUCUUGCUCCCGAGCUGGCCCGCCAUCUCGGGUUUUUGUUCGGACGUCCACGGUCUGGUCCCGGUUGAAGCGUGCAGCCACCCACGCCGGAGAUUCUAGUUUGGAUACAUCGACGUCGUGGACUGGCUUGGCUAUGUGUGUGUGUGCGCGCGCGUGGUGGUUCUCCUUUGGUCGUCAGUCGUCACUGUCUUGUCAUCGCAAUCAUAGGUUGAUGCACUGCAUGUANNNNNNNNUUGUUUNNNNNNNNNNNNNNNNNNNNNNNNNNNNNNNNNNNNNNNNNNNNNNNNNNNNNNNNNNNNNNNNNNNNNNNNNNNNNNNNNNNNNNNNNNNNNNNNNNNNAAGUAAUUGUUUUCACACUCUUACUUUUUUAAACUUUUUAUAACUAUCACGCAAUACAUGAGCGCGAGCCAUGGAUAUAGCACUAUAAGUGGAAUAGAGUGUGGUGGUGGUUGUGAGACAAAAAGGAAGAGAUGGUCACAUUGACUCGGCGUAUCAAAGGGCAAUGGAGAUGCCCAUUAAUAGAUAUCAAUGUGAAUGAGUAGGGAUUCCCAUACAAGAUAUGCACUAGAGCUAUAAGUAUGUGAAAGCUCAAAAGGGAAACUAGUGGGUGUGCAUCCAACUUGCUUGCUCACGAAGACCUAGGGCAAUUUUGAGGAAGCCCAUCAUUGGAAUAUACAAGCCAAGUUAUAUAAUGAAGAUUCCCACUAGCAUAUGGUAGUGACAAAGCAAGAAGCUCUCAAUCAUGAAGAACAUGGUGCUAUAAUGAAGCACAAGUAUGGAAAAAGAUAGUAGCAUUGUCCCUUCUCUCUUUUUCUCUCUUUUUUCAUUUGGGCUCUUAGGCCUCUUUUUUACUUUACUUUUCUGGGGGGGGGGGGGGGGGGUGUUUUUGUUUUUGGGCUCUUUGGACUCUCUUUUUUUAUUUCCUCACAUGGGAAAAUGCUCUAAUAAUGAUGAUCAUCACACUUCUAUUUACUCACAGCUCAAAAUGAUGAUGACUCUAAAGGAAAUGCCUCCGGCAGUAUACCGGGAUGCGCAACAAUCUAUCAUGGCGUAUGACGUUGAAAACAUCUCGCUAGCUAUCUUACGAUCAUGCAAUGGCAAUAUGAGAGUGACGACACAAGUCAUGAGACGGAACGGUGGGAGUUGCAUGGCAAUAUAUCUCGGAAUGGCUAUAAAAUGCCAUAGUAGGUAGGUAUGGUGGCUGUUUUAAGGAAGGCAUAUGGUGGGUUUGUGUACCAGCGAGAAUUGCGCGGCACUAAAGAGGCUAGCAAUGGUGGAAGGUGAAAGUGCAUCUAUACCAUGGACUCACAUUAGUCUUGAAGAACUCACAUACUUGUUGCGAAAGUUUUUAUUAGUAAUCAAAACAAAGUGCUAAACGCAUACUCCUAGGGGAAGGGUUGGUAGGUGUUAACCAUCGCGCGAUCCCGAACACAACACAAAGGUGACAAUCAAUAGAUCAAUUAUGCUCCGACUUCCUAACAUAGCAGUUCACCAUAUGUGCAUCCUACGGGAAUCACUAACUUCAACACAAGUAUCUCUAGAUUCACAAUACCCUACUAACAUAGCUCUCAAUAUUACCGAAUCCACGUCUCAAAACUAAUUGAGAGGAAUGAAAACUUCUCUUUCUACUCAAUGCACAUGAAGAUGGAGGUUUUUGCAUCCUCUUUGGGUACCUAUCACAUUUGGGACUACUUUCAUAGCAUAAGCCAACUACCAAAUCACGCACCGCCGUGCUCUAAAAGAUAUAAGUGAAGCACUAGAGCAAAAGUAUCUAGCUCAAAAGAUAUAAGUGAAGCACUAUAAGCAUUCUAGCAAAAUCACGAUGAGUGCAUGUCUCUCUCUCUCAAAAAUGUGUGCAGCAAGGAUGAUUGUGACACAACAAAAAGAAAAGACGCCUACGAUACAAGACGCUCCAAGAAAAACACAUAUCAUGUGGUGAAUAACAAUAUAGCUCCAAGUAAUGUUACCGAUGGAUUGAAGACAAAAGAGGGGAUGCCUUCCCGGGGCAUCCCCAAGCUUAGUCUUUUUGGUGUCCUUGAAUUAGGCUUGGGAUGCCUUGGGCAUCCCCAAGCUUGAGCUCUUUCUACUCCUUAUCUCAUCGUCCAUGAGAACAUCACCCAAAACUUGAAAACUUCACAACACAAAACUUAAACAGAAACUCGUGAUAACAUUAGCACAAGAAAACAAACUACCACUUCUUUUGGUACUGUAGAAAACUUGAAUUCUAUCUUUAUUGGUGUUGGGCUACUGUAUUCUCACUUUUCUAUGGCUAUUACCCCCCGAUACUAACCAUAGUUUCAUCAAAACAAGCAACCAACUCAACAAAAACAGAAUCUGUCAAAAACAGACCAGCCUGUAGCACUCUGUAUACUUCGUAUACUUCUGUUACCUUCAAAAAUCUGAAAAAUUAAGACUGCUUGGGAAAAAGGCAUAUCAACCGGCAGAAAAAAGAAUCGACUCAAAAUCUCUUUCUGAAUAAAAAUGAAAAAUCAUCUCGUGAGCAAAAAGUUUCUGUCUUUUUCCAGCACGAUCAAACAACCAUCACCAAGACUAGUCAUAAAGGUUUUGCUUGGCUCAAACACAAAAAGAAACACAAAAACACAAUCACAACAGAAUUAUGAUGGUGUGGACGCAACAAAACAGAAAGAAAAAGAUAAAUUCUUUGGGUUGCCUCCCAACAAGCGCUAUUGUUUAACACCCUUAGCUAGGCAUUGAUAUUUCAAUGAUGCUCACAUAAAAGAUAGCAAUCGGACAUGAAGAGAGCAUCAUGAAACAUGUGAAAAUCACAUCUAAGUCUAACGUACUUCCUAUGCAUAGGCAUUUUAUAGGAAAAAAAAUUAUCAAAACAACCAAUAGCUGCCAUAUGCAAGGAAGAAGAAAGAGACAAUAGCAAUCUCCACAUAACGAGAGGUAAUUUGGUUACAUGAAAGUUUCUACCACAAUAUUUUCCUCUCUCAUAGCAAUUACAUGUGGGAUCAUAUUCGAAUUCAACAAUGUAACUAUCACAUAGGAUAUUCUUUUUAUGAUCCACAUGCAUGCAAAGUUGACGCUCUUCAAAAAUAGUGGGAUUAUCAUCAAUUAAAGUCAUGACUUCUCCAAACCCACUUUCAAUAAUAUUGCAAAUAUCAUAUUCAUCAUGAGGCUUAAACAAAUUUUCAAGAUCAUAAGAAAAAUCAUCGCCCUAGUCAUGAUCAUUGCAACAAGUAGUGGACAUAGCAAAACUAGCAUCCCCAAGCUUAGGGUUUUGCAUAUUUUUAGCAUUAUUGUCACUAAUAGAAUUUAUAGUGAAACCAUUGCAAUCAUGCUUUUCAUCCAAGGAGCCCUCGUGAAUCACUUCAUAAAUUUCUUCCUCACAAUUUUCAGAUUCACGCAUCUCAAGUAAAACUCCAUAAAGAUAGUCAAGUGCACUCAACUCACUAGUAAUUGGAUCAACAUAAUUGGAUCUCUUAAAGAGAUUAGCAAGUGUAUGAGGAUCCAUAUCACUAGAUUUUCAGCAAGCGAAGAUGCAAGCAUAUUGAAGGAACAUGGCACACAAGCGAACAGAAAGCAAGCGAGAGAAAAGGGCGAACGAAAAAGGCAAACGGAAAAGGCAAACGAAAAUGGCAAGUUGGUGAAGUGGGGGAGAGGAAAACGAGAGGCAACUGGCAAACAAAGUAAAUGCAAGAGAUGAGUUUGCGACACCUACUUGGAUGAGUUCUUGACUUGAUCUUCCUCCCCGGCAACGGAGCCAGAAAUCCUUCUGCUACUUCUCAAACAACAGCGCCAAAAAUUGACACGUUGACGGAGACUGGGCUUGCAUUGUUUUUCCCUUGAAGAGGAAAGGGUGAUGCAGCACAGAUGCAGUAAGUAUUUCCCUCAGUUUGAGAACCAAGGUAUCGAUCCAGAAGGAGGGUCUCGUCAAGUCCAGAGUACGUGCACAAACACAAAAGAGCUUGCACCCAACGCUUCAAAGGGGUUGUCAAUCCUUCAAGAUUGUUUGCAAAGUGAGAUCUGAAGGCGGAAAGUGCAACGAAGUAAAAAGUGUAAGACUCAAAAUAUGGUUUGGAGUAGACCCGGGGGCCAUAGUGUUCACUAGAGGCUUCUCUCAAAAUAGCAAAUAUCACGAUGGGUAAACAAAUUACUGUCGAGCAAUUGAUAGAACCGCGCAAAGUCAUGACGAUAUCUAAGGCAAUGAUCAUACAUAUAGGCAUCACGUCCGAGACAAGUAGACCGAUACUUUCUGCAUCUACUACUAUUACUCCACACAUCGAUCGCUAUCCAGCAUGCAUCUAGUGUAUUGAGUUCAUGACGAACAGAGUAACGCCUUAAGCAAGAUGACAUGAUGUAGAGGGAUAAUCUCAAACCAAUGAUGAAAACCCCAUAUUUUUACCCUUGAUGGCAACAACACGAUGCGUGCCUUGCUACCCCUUCUGUCACUGGGUGAGGUCACCGCAUGGUAUGAACCCAAAACCAAGCACUUCUCCCAUUGCAAGAAUCAUAGAUCUAGUUGGCCAAACAAAACCCACAACUCGAAGAGAAUUACAAGGAUACGAAAUCAUGCAUAAGAGAGAUCAGAAGAAACUCAAAUAAGAUUCAUAGAUAAUCUAAUCAUAAAUCCACAAUUCAUCGGAUCUCGACAAACAGACCGCAAAAGAAGAUUACAUCGGAUAGAUCUCCAUGAAGAUCAUGGAGAACUUUGUAUUGAAGAUCCAAGAGAGAGAAGAAGCCAUCUAGAUACUAACUAUUGAACCGUAGGUCUAUGGUGAACUACUCACGCAUCAUCGGAGAGGUCACCGUGUUGAUGAAGAAGCUCUCCGUGUCCGAAUCCCCCCUCCGGCAGGGCACCAGAAUGUGCCCCAGAUGGGAUCUUGCGGAAACAGAAGCUUGCGGCGGCGGAAAAGUGAUUUCGAUGAUCUCCUGAUUUUUUUGGGAUUUUUAGGGAAUAUAUAGGCGCAACCCCUGGGGCAGAGGGCGCCCACAAGCCUGUGGGCCGUGGCCUACCCCCUGGCCGCGGGGUGGCGGCUUGUGGGGCCCCUGAGGCUCCCCUACCUUGCUCCCAAGCUCCCCGAUCUUCUUCCGUUACGAAAAAAAUCUUUUCGGGGAUUUUCUUCCGUUUGGACUCUGUUUCAAAAUCUCCUCUGAAAGGGGUAAAAAACAUGGAAAAAACAGGAACUGGCACUUGGCACUGAGUCAAUAAGUUAGUCCCAAAAAAUAUAUAAAAGGCAUGCAAAACAUCCAAAGUUUGACAAGAUAAUAGCAUGAAACCAUCAAAAAUUAUAGAUACGUUGGAGACGUAUCAGGGUCCUAAUGGAAACUUAGGGAUAUUAAGGUCUCCUAUUAAUAGAGAACUGGAACAAAGCAUUAGCGCAUAGUGAAUACAUGAACUCCUCAUACUAUGGUCAUCUCUGGGAGUGGUUCCGGCUAUUGUCACUCCGGGGUUGCCGGGUCAUAACAAAUAGUAGGUGACUACAACUUGCAAGAUAGGAUCAAUAACACACAUAUAUUGAUGAAAACAUAAUAGGUUCAGAUCUGAAAUCAUGGCACUCGGGCCCUAGUGACAAGCAUUAAGCAUGGCAAAGUAGUAGCAACAUCAAUCUCAGAACAUAGUGGAUACUAGGGAUCGAACCCCAUCAAAACUAACUCGAUUACAUGAUAGGCCUCAUCCAACCCAUCACAGUCCAGCAAGCCUACGAUGAGAUUACUCACGAAUGGUGAAGAAAAUCAUGGAAUUGGCAAUGAAGGAUGGUUGAUGAUGACGACGGCGUCGAUCUCCCCUCUCCGGAGCCUAGAACGGACUCCAGAUCUUCCCUCCAGAGGAAGAACAAGUGGCGGCGGUGGCUCCGUGUCGUAAAACAUGAUGAACUCUUAUCUCCUAAUUUUUUCUGGGCGAAAGAGACUAUAUAGAGCUCGAGUUGGAGGCGGUGGAGUUACGAGGGCCUCACAAGCCUGCCAGGCGCGGCCAGGGGGGCCCGCGCCUCCAGGGCUUGUCGGCUCCUCGCUUCGUCCCUCCAGGUAAUUCUUGCGCCAGUAUUUUUUAUAUAUUCCACGAAAAAUCCUUGUAAAUUUCCAGGUCAUUCCGAGAACUUUUAUUUCUGCGCAAAAACAACACAAUGGCAAUUCUGCUGAAAACAACGUCAGUCCGGGUUGGGUCCAUUCAAAUCAUGCAAAUUAGAGUCCAAAACAAGCGCAAAAGAGUUUGGAAAAGUAGAUACGAUGGAGACGUAUCAACUCCCCCAAGCUUAAAGCCUUGCUUGUCCUCAAGCAAUUCAGUUGACAAACUAGAAGGGACAAAAGAAAAACUUUUACGAACUUUGUUUGAUCUUGUUGUUGUAAUUAUGUCUAACUCAUAUUCAGAUUUUCAGCAAGAUCAUAAGCUAACCACAUAAGCAAUGACAUUUAGGUCUCAUGGUAAACUCAUAUCAAUGGAAAAAUUAACUAGGGAGCAAUAAUAAUAAGUUUCAAACGUCAACACUUCAAUCAAAACAAACAUGAAGCAAUAUUUACAGAUGGUAUCUCGCUAGCUCUUUGUGAGACCGCAAAACAUAAAUGCAGAGCACCUUCAUAGACCAAGAGUUGACUGAACAUUAUAAUUCAUGGCAAAGAAGAUCCAGUCACAGCCAUACUCAAUAACAAUUAAAAGCAAAGCAUAAAAAUGACGGAGGUGCUCUAUAAUUGGUGCCUUUACAAGGAGAGGAUGACUCAACAUAAACAUAAAUAGAUAGGCCCUUCGCAGAGGGAAGCAUUGAUUUGCAGAGGUGCCAGAGCUCAAGCUUUUAAAACAGAGAUAAAUAAUUUUGGGUGGCUUGCUUUCAUUGUCAACGCGAUGACCAAGAGUUUUCACGAUCUUCCAUGCUACACAUAUUAUAGGCGGUUCCCAAACAGAAAAGUAAAGUUUUGACUCCCCCACCACCAAUCAAUCACACUCCACGACUAGCCGAAUCCUCGGGUGCCGUCCAUACCAACAACAAUCCAGGGGGAGUUUUGUUUGCAAUUAUCUUUUCGAUUUGAGCAUGGAACAGGGCAUUCCAAUUACCCGCCCAUUUCUCGUGAGUGAUAGUGAAUAAACAUGUAUCGAGGAUAACACGCCUAGCAUGGAAGAUACUGACCGCCCCUUGUCACCACAUGAACGGUUCAUGCAUGCAAAACAGAUUAUUACUUGAAGGUUUAGAGAGCGGCACAUGCAAAUUUACUUGGAACGACAGGUAUAUACCGCAUAUAGGUAGGUAUGGUGGACUCAUAUGGAACAACUUCGGGUUUAUGGAAGUGGAUGCACAAGAAGUAUUCCCGCUUAGUACAAGUGAAGGCUAGCAAAAGGCUGGGAAGCGAUCAACUAGAGAGCGACAACAGUCAUCAAUAUGCAUUGAAAAUUAACCAACAUUGAGUGCAAGCAUGAGUAGGACAUAAAUCACCAUAAACAUGAAUUUCAUAGAGGCUAUGUUGAUUUUGUUUCAACUACAUGUGUAAACAUGCGCCAAGUCAAGACACUUGAAUCAUUCAAAGGAGGAUACCAUCCUAUCAUACUACAUCAUAAUCAUCUUGAAAUUCAUGUUGGCAUCCAAUACAAACCAUUAUAAGCUCCUAGCUAAUUAAGCAUGGCAUCAGAAACUAUGAUCUCUAAGUUGUCAUUACAAACAUGUUUCUCUCAUAACAAUGCUGAAUUAGGAACGAUGACCUAGUCAUAUUGACAAAAACAAAAUAGGUCGAGUUCAUACCAGCUUUUACAGGCUCAGUCACUUCAUCAUAUAUCGUCAUUAUUGUCUUUAACUUGCACGAACGAAUGCUGUUAAUAAUAUUGAGAGUGUUCGUGCAUUGGACUAAGCUGGAAUCUGCAAGCAAACACAGAGGAGAAGACAAAGCAAUAUGGCUCUUUGACGGAUAAACAAAUAUCCAUGUGAGAGCCACUAAACGUUUUAAUCAUGGUCUUCUACCUUGACCCAAAGAAAAAGAAAACCAUUUACACGGGGAAAGCUCUCAACAAGCAAAAUAAGAACAAUAAAUCUUUUUGGGUUUUCUUUUUAAACACCACUAAGCAAGCUGGAGAGUAAACUUACAACUAAUAAUAAUUUUGUUUUUGUUUUUCUCAGUCUAAACAAACACAAGAGAAGAAAGCGAGAAAAAGAAAUAAACUAGCAUGGAAGAUACAGUGGCAAGGUGUGAACACCGACUAUAAAAGUGAAUGUGUGAGCAUGUAUAUAAAGUCGGUGAGAAACACGUACUCCCCCAAGCUUAGGCUUUUGGCCUAAGUUGAUCUACUCCCAUGGCUGGUCCGGGCGAUAUCCAGAAUCAUAAUGGGGGUUGUACGGGAACGCGGCAGCUACCGCGUGAGUAGGUGCCUCACGGAGGCGAGCAACCUUUUCCUCCCUCUCAUACUCCUCUGCCUCUCCUCUGGUUAUGUAAUAUCUCCGUUUUACCUGAAAGUCAAAGAAGGCAGGAGCAGGAAGGGUAAUAUGGAAAACAUGUUGUCGAUUAAAUAUUAACCGGUAUAGGAGGGAUUCAUUAUCCCUCUCAAAGAAGUGAUAACGUGUCAUAGCGGCGCGAUCAAGGAAAGCUGUAUGGAGAGGGGGAUCUAUUUCGCGGAUGGGUACUCCAAGAAAAUUUGCUAUGCGAGUAGCAUAGAUCCCACCAAAGAAAUCCCCUUCAUUUGCAUUAUUAUUUAGCCUCCUCACGAUUAUAGCUCCCAUGUUGAAACUUCUAUCACCCAUUACUUCUCUCUUAAGAAUACUAAGGUCAGGUGCGCAGAGGUGACAAUGCUCAAUCUUGUUGUUAAUGCAUCUACCUAUGAAGAGGGCAAAGUAAUGCAACGCAGGAAAAUGAAUGCUCCCAUGGUAGCCUGCGUAAUAUCUCUAGUUUCUCCAACAGUUAUACUAGAGAUAAAAUCUCUAACCGAAGACUUAGGAGGAUCAUUGAGACUACCCCAAUCAGGUAUCUUGCAAAUUCUAUUGAAAUCCUCUAAAUCCAUGGUAUACGAUUUGUCAUAAAGAUCAAACAAUAUAGAUGUGUCACGGCCAACUGAAAAUUUAAAUCUACGAAGAAAAGAGGCAGUGAGAGUACUAUAAUGUUCACAUUUAUGGGAGAUGAAUUCUUCGAGCCCGGCGUUGUGAAAAAAUGUAUCAAACUCGUCUUUGAAACCUGCAUCAAUCAUGAAUUCAUCAGAAGGCCAUUCACAUGGUUGUACCUGUGCGUUCCUCGGUUGAUAAGGAUUGGGCUCCCGAAUCGCGAGACGGGGACCCCUCUUGCUUGGAGAACCACCAUGAUAGUUUCUCCUGAACAUCUUAUUUUUUUGAAAUUUUUAGUGACUCAAAAGUAAAAUGAACAAGGCUCAACAAAACUCAUAGCAACUACUCCUACAAGUGCCUAGAGGCCAUAUCAUGCAACAAAACUACUUGGGACCAACUAAAAUUAACAUGCAAAGCUCAAGAACAGGGUCACCAAGGCAGCAAUAAUAUGUAACAAAUAAAGCACUAGAGCAAAAACUAAUUGGACCAAUGGAGGAGUCACAUACCAAGGAACAAUUCCCCAAAACAGUUUGGUGAAUGGGGCUUUGCACAAGGAGAUCGAAAAACGCAGCAAGUAGAGCAAAAAACACGGGUUUGAGCUGUGGAAUGAUUUUUUUCUGGAGGUAGGAGAAGGAGAUAGGAGCUCGAAUAAGUGGAGGGGGCCACGUGGGACCCACAAGCCUGCGAGGCGCGUCCAGGGGGGUGCCCGCGCCUCCUGAGCUUGUAGCCCACUAGUGCAUCCCCCUGACUAGCUCUCUAUCUCAGAAUUUUUCCAAUAUUCCAGAAAAAAUCAUACUUGAAUUUCAGGGCAUUCGAAGAACUUUUAUUUUCAGGACACUUUUCUAUGGGACGGAAAAAACAGAAAACAGGAAAAACUAAAGCUAAAUUUAUCAUUUUUCUUCUAAACAACAAAAAGUAAAAGUUGGGAGCAGAAGGUUGUGACUCUUAGAUUCAUCCAUCUCAUGGUCAUCAAAAGAAAUCCGUCAAUGAGGUUGAUCAAGUCUCCUUGACAAACUUUUUUCGAAUCACAUAAAACCGGAGAACUUUUGAAUAAUCACUAGGUUACCUCAAUGGGGAUGUGCAUAUCCCCAACAAGUAAAUCAUACUUCAUCUUGACAAUAGGUAUAGGGCAUUCAAAGCUCCCAAUAAGAAUUGAUGAAGUUUUUUCAAUAGCAUUGAUACAAUGAACUCGACAUUGUUUCUUCGGAAAGUGCACCGUAUGCUCGUUACCAUUAACAUGGAAAGUGACAUUGCCUUUGUUGCAAUCAAUAACUGCCCCUGCAGUGUUUAAAAAGGGUCUUCCAAGGAUGACCGCCAUGGCAUUAUCCUCGGGAAUAUCCAGAAUAACAAAGUCCGUUAAGAUAGUAACGUUAGCAACCACAACAGGCACAUCCUCACAAAUGCCGAUAGGAAAACCAGUUGAUUUGUCGGCCAUUUGCAAAGACAUUUCAGUAGGCGUCAACUUAUCCAAUUCAAGUCUACGACAUAAAGAGAGAGGCAUAACACUAACACCGGCUCCAAGAUCGCAUAAAGCAGUUCUAACAUAAUUUCUUUUAAUGGAGCAAGGUAUAGUGGGCACUCCGGGAUCACCUAGUUUCUUAGGAGUUCCACCCUUGAAGGUGUAAUUAGCGAGCAUGGUGGAAAUCUCAACCUCAGGUAUCCUCCUUUUAUUAGUCAAAUAUCUUUCAUGUACUUAGCAUAAGGAGACAUUUUGAGCAUAUCUGUCAAACGCAUUUGCAAAAAGACAGGUCUAAUCAUUUCAACAAAGCGCUCAAAAUCCUCAUCAUCCUUUUUCUUGGAUGGUUUGGGAGGAAAGGGCAUGGGUUUCUGAACCCAUGGUUCUCUUUCUUUACCAUGCUUCCUAGCAAUAAAGUCGUUCUUAUCAUAUCUCCUAUUCUUAGGUUGUGACUUAUCAAGAUCAACAUGUUCAAUCUCCACAUCCUUAUCAUUGCUAGGUUGAUCAUCAACAUGAACACCACUAUCAAUAUUAUCACUAGGCUCAUGUUCAUCACCAGAUUGUGUUUUGGCAUCAGAAACAAAGACAUCAUUUGGAUUCUUGGGUGUAAUAGCAACAGGUUUGCUAGCGUUCAAGUUGCUAUCAUCUUAUUUUUUCCUAAUACCAGGAUGACUAGGUGCAUCAGUUCUAACUCCUUGAGAAUAUUGUUCAAUUCUCUUCGGAUGACCCUCAGGAGACAAAGGUUCCUGGGUCAUUCUACCACCUCUAGUGAAAACUCUAACAGACUUGUCAUUCAACUCAUUGAGCAAGUCAUUUUGAGCCUGAAGUACUUGUUCUACUUGAGUAGUGACCAUAGAGGCAUGUUUCCUCAAAAGUUUAAGAUCAUUGACAUUUCUAUCCACACAAGCACUUAUAUGAUCAACCAUACUAGCAUUUUGUCUCAAUUGUCUGCUAACAUAAUCAUUGAAUCUUUGUUGUUUGGCAACAAAGUUAUCAAAUUCAUCUAAGCAUAUGCUAGCAGGUUUAUCAUAAGGAAUAUCACUCUCAUUGAAUCUACAAAGAGAAUUUACCUCUACUACCUGUCUCGGGUUAUCAAGACCAUGUAUUUCUUUGAUAGGUGGUAGAUUCUUAACAUCUUCAGAUUUAAUGCCUUUCUCUUGCAUAGAUUUCUUGGCUUCUUGCAUAUCUUCAGGACUGAGGAAUAGAAUACCUCUUUUCUUCGGAGUUGGCUUAGGAGGUGGUUCGGGAAUAGUCCAAGCAUUAUCAUUGCUCAAGAUAUUAUUCAAUAGAAUUUCAGCUUGUUCCACAGUUCGUUCCCUGAAAACACAACCAACACAACUAUCUAGGUGGUCCCUAGAAGCAUCGGUUAGUCCAUUACAAAAGAUAUCAAGUAUUUCAUUUUUCUCAAGAGGGUGAUCAGGCACAGAAUUAAGUAGCCGAACAAGUCUCCCCCAAGAUUGUGGGAGACUCUCUCCUUCAACUUGCACAAAGUUAUAUAUAUCCUGGAAGGCAGCUUGUUUCUUAUGGGCAGGAUUUUUUUUUCCAGAGAAGUAAUAAAUCAUAUCCUGGGGACUACGCACACAACCAGGAGCAAGAGAAGUGAACCAAGUCUUAGCAUCACCCUUUAGUGACAAAGGAAACAACUUAAGGAUAUAGUAAUGUCGAAUCUUUUCCUCAUUCGUGAAUAUGGUGGCUAUAUCGUGCAGUUUGGUAAGAUGUGCUACAACCGUUUCAGACGCAUAACCAUGAAAAUGAUCAGAUUCGACCAAAGUGAUUAACUCAGGGUCGACAGANNNNNNNNNNNNNNNNNNNNNNNNNNNNNNNNNNNNNNNNNNNNNNNNNNNNNNNNNNNNNNNNNNNNNNNNNNNNNNNNNNNNNNNNNNNNNNNNNNNNGUGGGCAAGCCCAGAGAGGCCCCUGUGCAGGGAGAUAGAAAAUCAAAGGAGAAAAAGAGGGGAAGUGGGAAGGAAGGGAAGGACUCCACCUUCCAAUCCUAGUUGGAUUAGGAUUAGAGGAGGAAUCCUCCUCCCCCCCUUCAGCCGAACCCCUUGGGGCCUCUUGAGCACCAAGGCAAGGCUCCUCCCCUUCCCACCUAUAUAUACGGAGGUUUUAGGGCUGAUUUGAGACAACUUUUCCACGGCAGCCCGACCACAUACCUCCACGGUUUUUCCUCUAGACCGCGUUUCUGCGGAGCUCGGGUGGAGCCCUGCUGAGAUUAGAUCACCACCAACCUCCGGAGCGCCGUCACGCUGCCAGAGAACUCAUCUACCUCUCCGUCUCUCUUGCUGGAUCAAGAAGGCUGAGAUCAUCGUCGAGCUGUACGUGUGCUGAACGCGGAGGUGCCGUCCGUUCGGCACUAGAUCGGAGCGGAUCAUAGGACGGAUCGCGGGACGGUUCGUGGGACGGUUCGCGGGGCGGAUCGAGGGAUGUGAGGAUGUUCUACUACAUCAACCGCGUUUAUUAACGCUUCUGCUGUGCGAUCUACAAGGGUACGUAGAUCUGAAAUCCCCCUCGUAGAUGGACAUCUCCAUGAUAGGUCUUUGUGCGCGUAGGAAAUNNNNNNNNNNNNNNNNNNNNNNNNNNNNNNNNNNNNNNNNNNNNNNNNNNNNNNNNNNNNNNNNNNNNNNNNNNNNNNNNNNNNNNNNNNNNNNNNNNNNGGGGGGGGGGCAGCCCACCCCGGGGAAGCCCAUAGGCCUUAGGGGUUCCGCACCAGCCCUUAGUGGGCUGGUGGGCAAGCCCAAAGAGGCCCCUACGCAGGGAGAUAGAAAAUCAAAGGAGAAAAAGAAAGGGGAAGUGGGAAGGAAGGGAAGGACUCCACCUUCCAAUCCUAGUUGGACUAGGAUUGGAGGAGGAAUCCUCCUCCCCCCUUUGGCCGAACCCUUGGGGCCUCUUGGGCCCCAAGGCAAGGCUCCUCCCCUCCCACCUAUAUAUACAGAGGUUUUAGGGCUGAUUUGAGACAAAUUUUCCACGGCAGCACGACCACAUACCUCCACGGUUUUUCCUCUAGGUCGCGUUUCUGCGGAGCUCGGGCGGAGCCCUGCUGAGAUUAGAUCACCAUCAACCUCUGGAGCGCCGUCACGCUGCCGGAGAACUCAUCUACCUCUCCGUCUCUCUUGCUGGAUCAAGAAGGCCGAGAUCAUCGUCGAGCUGUACGUGUGCUGAACGCGGAGGUGCCGUCCGUUCGGCACUAGAUCGGAGCGGAUCGUGGGACGGAUCGCGGGACGGUUUGUGGCACGGUUCGCGGGGCGGAUCGAGGGACGUGAGGAUGUUCCACUACAUCAACCGCGUUUAUUAACGCUUCUGCUGUGCAAUCUACAAGGGUACGUAGAUCGGAAAUCCCCCUCAUAGAUGGACAUCUCCAUGAUAGGUCUUCGUGCGCGUAGGAAAUUUUUUGUUUCCCAUGCUACGUUCCCCAACAAAAAGUGCCCAAAACAAAUAAAUGCGAAAAUAGGGGCAGCAAAAUAGCCCCAUCCAAUUGAGUGCAAAACCCUAAACCCUAAAAAGUGCUCAAAAAAGGAGCGAAGCAAUAGCCCCGGUUCGUAAUAAGAACCGGGACUAAUCCCCCUCCCCCUUGUUCCAAGCCCUGCCACGUGGAGGACCAUUAGCCCCGGUUCGGGGCCGAACGGGGCUAGCAUUAGUCCCGAUUGUUUAGUCCCGNNNNNNNNNNNNNNNNNNNNNNNNNNNNNNNNNNNNNNNNNNNNNNNNNNNNNNNNNNNNNNNNNNNNNNNNNNNNNNNNNNNNNNNNNNNNNNNNNNNNUAGGGCGAAUUCUCGCUUUUGGAUUCUUUUGUCAGGCCAUCUUUUAACUUUUUCUUUGAAUAGUUUGGCAUUUUCAUAAUCUUGGGUUCUCCAUUCAUCUAAUGAGCUAAUAUCAAAUAACCUCUUUUCGCUAGCAAGUUUGAAAUCAUAGUUGAGUUCUUUAAUUGCCCAAUAAGCUUUAUGUUCUAACUCAAGAGGUAAAUGACAUGAUUUUCCAUAAACCAUUUUAUAAGGAGACAUACCUAGAGGAUUUUUGUAACAUCCCAAAAUUAUAAAUUUUGGAAUGUUAAUAUAAUUAUUAGAUUGCUUGUUUGUUUGUUUGCUGAGUGACUGAAACUUGUGUGAAAUUUGAAACUUUUCGAAACUUUUGAAUGAGAGGGAAUAAAAUGACUUUACCCUUCUCCGGUGAAUUAAAAUUCAAACUUUUAAAAGCAAAGAGAGAAGAUGACAUGACUUAUUCAACUAUAAAUAAUUUGAACGGAGAUUGUUGCAUUUGAAUUCUCUUGCAUUUUUUUUGUUUUCUUCGUGCAAGAAAUGCCGGGAAAUACUUUGUGUCAAACAGAAACGAGAGGAGGAACAUGACCCUCCAAAGUAUGGGCAUUUCUGAAAUGUUGGAGCCAAGAAAAUCCAAGGAUCAUUUGCAAAAAUAAUUGCAAAAAGAAAUAAAGCAAAUUUGGGAAUUUCUGAAAAAAAACAUUUUUUUAAGUUUUUAUUUUUGCUUUGGAAAAAUGUUAUUCGGGUAGAGAAUAUUUUUCUGAUUUUUUUGGUAUAUAAUACCCUAUAUUAAAUAUUUUUAUUUAUUUCCUUUUAUUAGCUUUUUUUUAUGUUUCGGAAAAAGGUUUAGAAAAUAGGAAAGUUCUGUUUUU
rnacentral:lncRNA from 1 species